rnacentral:lncRNA from 1 species
UGGGCUGCUGCUGCUUAUGCAGCUGCAUGAGCUUGCUCUUCAAUUCGUUCAUUCAUCAGUUGGCUUCGGGUCGGAUACUUUGCCAAGUAUCCAUGUCCAGGACCUUUCAUGCUCUUGCAUCCAGCGGUUUCCUUGUAGGUUUCACGAAGAAUGUGCCUUUCUUGUUCCUUUGAAAUCAUAGAAGCGUCCAACUCAAUUCUCUCUACAAUUUUGGAGAAGGUGCUUUCCUAAAAUUAAGAACACAGUUAGUGUUUUUAGCUUUAGCAAGUAGCAAUAGGAGUUGCAGUUCAAGUAAAAUAAGAAUUAGGUAAAAUGGAUACUUUGGAAAUUGAACUAUAUCAAUUAGAUUCAUGUACUACUUACUUCCUCUAAACAUCGAAGUCCAUGUUAAUCAUGGAAAUAUGUUUGCUUAGCAAAGCAUGUUGAGAGCUAAAAAGCAAUGGACAGUUGAGCACUAGCAUUUUAAAGAAUUAUAUCACAUUCAAGAGAUAACGAACACAAGGACAAAGAGAGGACUGAACACAAGUUUGAGGAUAGAUAACUAUAUCAUUCACGUAACAUAUUUACAGCAGAAAAAAACUUGUUCAGAUAACUCAUGAGUUAACUAUAUGACAUGUAUAGUAACGAACAAAGUAGUACUUACAUAUAUUUCCUUAGCAGCAUCAGAAGAUCAUCGACCUUCCUUGCUGCGUGUACUCCUCCAAAGUGCCAAAUCAUCUGGCUUAUCACCAGUCUCUAGGUUUCUCUGAUAUGAGAAAAUUGAAUAAUGUAACUGUUUAGGUAAAAAAUAAGAUUAGGUAACAUAUCCUUACCUGCUCAUAACUAACUUGUGAAAAAGGUUUUGAUCCUGUAAGAUGUAGUGUCUGUCGAUGCUGAGAAUUGCUAGAGUUUGUGUUGCUUAUUCGCUAAUAUAAACACAGAUAUGUUAGUUGCACUAAAAAAAUACAGAAAAUAAUGACAUAUAUGUCAGAGGUCUGGAACCUGAAAUUUGUCACUUCCAAAAUAUAACACGAAGUAGUGCCACUCGACAAUGUCCAAAUCUUCUGGCUUAUAACUCAUUCUUUGAUGGUAACUAUUGUAUGCCUUGUACGUGGAACUCAAUUGAGCUCGCCAUCCUCUGUAAUGCUCCUUUGCAAUCUUCCAUAUCCUAGCCUUCUCAACAUCAUUAUUUUCAAUGUUCCACCUAACCUUCUCAUGACCAACAAAUUGUGAACAAUUUAGAUAUUAGAAAGAAUUAAUUUAGCAUAUGCGGGAGGAAGACUGUAACAUACCAUUAUAUCUCGUGCUAUUUUAUCUUUAACAUUUUGAUCUACAUCUCCCCACUUUUGAACUCCAAUAUGUGGAGUCCUUUUCCUUGUAAACUUUACUAUUUCAUCAAUAAACGCGCGAUAGUUUUCUCCUAUAGGGCCGCCUUGCGUGGAUGAGAAAUCUAUACUAAGUUUAUGACUACCAAGUUUAAAUCUCUUAGCAUCGACCGAUAAACCUUUAACGGUUCCACGCCCAAUCUUUCUCUUGUCGCCAACCCCUACAAUAAAAAUGAUAUUAUAAAAUUGAACGUUUGUAAACAUUAAAAAUCAGCAUUUUUAUAUUAUAGUAUUGUCUGAACACUCUGGACCAUUGCAUACCUUUCUGAGAGGCCUUUGGCCUGCGAGCAUGAGAUGGAAACUGCAUUGGUGUUACGCUGUUGUCACCACUUCCAUCUUCUUCAAUGGUUUCAUCAUCUAAAAAUCCAUCUGCACAUACAAACAAGUGAAAGUACACACUUACAAUGGAGUUGGAAAUAUAUACAUCAAGUUGUACUAGUGCUAAGAUAAUUCAAAUUCAGAUUACGAAUAUCUUGAAGAAGCCCAUUCUGCCUCAACCAUUCUCUAUAUGUUGCAACAGUAUUCAGCCGGGUGUCAUCCUUAAAUUCUGCGAAAUACAUAUAGAUGUUAUAUAUGUAGUGUGAGUUUUAGAACAAUACCUAAAGUUCAUUUAGAUGUAUUUUUCUAGUACAUUAUUACCUAGAUUGUUUUCAUCCUGUGGCAGCUCCUGAAGCCACACCUUGUAUGCAUCAAUGUCUUCAUCCUGAAUUCCAUUUCCACUAACUUUCUCAUGUGUACUACGUUGCUUAAUGGGUGUAAUUGAAUAUUGUCCUUCUCGAUCUUGCUGAGUUGUUGAAACUGCUAACCUAACUAUAUUUUCUUCUAAACAAUCUUCUAUCAUUGCUAAUGCAUCUUCUUCGUAAUCUAUAGGCAGCAGCAAAGCUCUAUCGUUGCCACAUCUCUUGAAAAAGUACAUGAAGUCCCUCGAAGAAUAACCCAUCUUAACUUUGAACUUUAAUAAAUUGGCAAAGGUGACUCUAGCACGGUCAAUGUCCAAUAUGGCACGACUCUGGUCCUUGGGCCCCCUGAGAAAUCAAUAAGUACUUGCCAAAUAUCUCCCAUUUUCCUACAGAAAAAAUAUUUUAACUCAACAUAAGUUCAGGAAAUACAGUGAAUGCCAUGGCCUUGUUUGGUUCAGGAAGUAGUUAUAAUAGGUCGCAAACACAUGUUAAGUUACAGACAAUAAUAAUCAGUAUUUGAGAAUGAUAUGUAGACGCCACUAAAAAAUGAUGAUAACAUCCAGAAACACUUGUUAAUUGAAUAUAAUAAUUAUCAAUAUACUGGUGUGCUGCAUCAAGCUGCUCGGCAGAGUGAAGUCUUGAAAACAAAAUUAUUUUCGAAACUAAAAUGUUCAAUAUGCAUCCACAAACAAAGGUAAAAUAUUAAUCUUUGCAGCAACUAAGCUUUUGAAUGCCAACUCCAUGAGCAACCAUCCCCAUGCCCCCUAUAUCUAUCGUGACCUGCAAAUUUAAUUUUAGAAUACUCCAACUCAUUCAGAAAUCAAUGGCACUUCAAGAAUAACAAACCCAUGGCAGCUAAUUUCUAUCAGCUAAUUCAGAGGUUAAAUCUGAGGUUAUUGCCGACUCAAGAAACAAUUAGCAAUUGCCUUUUAAGACAUAGAAGGGAGUAAUUCAUGAGUAACUCAAGAAAUAAUUAGCAAUUAGCAAUUUGGAAUUAGGAAUUUUGGGAUUUUACGAGAACCUCUUGCUGGACCUGGACGUAGGAGAUGGGGAUCUCAUGGACGGAGGAGACGGCGAGGACGGUGGAGUCGGCAACCUCGUGGUGGACGGCCUCCGCGGUGGUGGUGGCGACGUCGAGCUCCUGGUGAACGGCCGCUGCGGAGGUGGUGGCGAUGACAGCCUUAGUGUGGUCUUCUCCAUUGCGGCCGGGAGUGGAGAAGGUGCGAACACUGCCACACGUUCGGGCAUUAGCACCGGUCGGGAAGGGCCUGUUGCCCCGGUUCCCGAGCCGGUGCUGCCCUUCCGGGACUAAAGGCCCAUCCUUUAGUCCCGGUUCGGGUAACCGGGGCUAAAGCCCCCCCAUUAACACCCAACCGGUGUUAAUGGGUCCUGCCAGGGCUGCCACGUUGCAGGACCCUUUACCAACCGGUGUUAAAGGGUUUCUUUUUCUUUUUUUUGGUUCACUUCUUUGGUUCUGUUUAUUGUUAGUAUAUAAUAUAUAAUAAUAGAUUUUUCAAUACAUGUUUUUCUGAUACAAUAAUAUAUUUAUAUUACACGCAUAUUAAGCAUAAAUAAAUGAAAAUUAUAGGCUUAGCCUUAAUAAUUAAGCUUUGCCUAUAAUAAAAUGAAUAGGCCACAUCAAAAAUUAAAUAGAUAUGUAAAAAGCUUUAUAUAUAUAUAAUUUUAUAUGUACAAAAUUCGUAACACAUAUAUACAUAGAGUUUUUUCUCCCAAUGUCUACAAAUGGUCAUCGUUGUUUGGAAUAAGAGUUUCGUUGCCGUUGAAGUGAAACUCGCCGUUUAGAUUGAUCACUUGGUCGCGGAGAAAUCCUGCUAUCGUCUCUUGGAUAGCUUUGAUUCGGUCUUGUUGUAGGACCUUUUCCCUCAACCAUUCCGUCUUUAAUUUGAAAUAAAUAAAAAAGGUAUUAGUUAUCUAAGUUAUUCAAUAUAAUUCAGGAGAUAAUGAAAAGAGACAUGUAACGUACUCUGAGCGUCUCUGUAGGUGUUUGAUUGACUUGUGUCAUCAUGAAUUUGCACACGUAAUAUGCACAUAGAUUGUUCCCCCCUUCUUGUCUUAAACACCACUGUACGAUAUAUAUAUAUAAAAUAUUCACGACUACGACAAUAAGAAGGCUACAAGUUAGCGAAAGUUUGCUAGCUAGUAGAACUUACUUGUGGAUGUAUUAUGUUAAGCGGCGCUUUACAUCCACUGAGAUGUUCACGGUCAAUGAAUCUUUCCCAAACCCUACACACAGCCAUUGUGGAUCGUGAACUAAUAAUUACAGAGUCAUAUUAUGAUAUUCUUCUAGCUGAGAUCGACAUUACGUAACUUUGAAUAAUGUUUACCAUUUGUUGAUAAUUUUCUUGUGGUUUUCUCAUGGAGUCAAAGAUUAUCAACCGGUUCUUGGGAAUUUCAAUGACCAUGAGUAUCCAGUGAAAGCUGUUUACACACAUAUAUAUAUAGUCAGUCCUAUAAUGUAAAAUAAAAUAUGCAUGCACUUAAUAACUAUAUAACUCACUCAAAGUUGAAGAGGAAGAGUAUUUUUUGUUUUUCUUUUUGGUUCACAAAGAACCUCAUAAGAUUGGUGCAGAUUUCUGUCUCAUGAGCUUCUGUCCACACUGCCCUGCGGAGCCUUGAAAACAAUAUAAGGGUCAACGAACCCAAUACUAUUGUCAUUUCUCAUUCUGAGCUCUCUCAUUUGGUGCCUGCAUAUAUACAUACAAAUCCUAAGUGUGUAAUGAUUAUAUACAUAUAAUUAAAGAAGUUAGAAGUAUAAUAAAAAGAAAAAAAUACUUACAGACAAAAGCAGCUGACAAAAGAUUUGUCGAGAGUGUCGAGGUGACAUAAUUGGUGCAAUUCUUCGAACUGCACGUAUAUAAGGUCAUCUCCACGGAAGUAGUGAUGUUGUCUAAUACGAACUGAAAUCCAAUUUUCUCCCCUUUUAGACGCCUCAAUGCACCAUUUGUUUAUUGCAAACAUUUGUGUGCCGAGCUCGUGUAAACGCUUAGGGUCGAAUAGACUCCUGCUCGGUUCAUAUCUUGCCCUCCAUUGAUCAACUACCUCGGCUUUUUCAAAUGUUUGACAUCCAAGAAUGGCGGCAAUUUCUUCCAUAUUUAAACCGCUCUGUCCAAAGUAACGCUCAAGCGAGUCUAGCUCAGACAACGCUAAGGAUUUCUUUGGCAUCAAGUCUUCAUUUGAGCCGUAUUGAUUUGGCACAAUCAAAGGGGGCACCGGUUUUGAUAUUUCUCCGAGCUGUGGGACCCCCUUUCCUACUCUCUUCUUAGGCUGUGAAGACUUGACCAGAGACCGCUCAUAGUCUCAAAGUGCUGGCUUUUUCUGAGCUUCGCGUUGCUUCUUUUGAUGGUCCGCCACCUUCUGCCUCAGUUCCGAUGGCUUUACAUAAAAGUACGGCUUUUCUGGGUUUUGCCACUUUUUACUAUCCUCCUUCAAUUUAUAAAAAAAUUGUUUGACCUCAGCUUUGGAUGCAGCAAUUAACUCCUCUUCACUCUUUUCAUAAGAUAAUUUUUCUGGCGUCUUAGCUCUCUUUGCUGAGGCAGCCUUCUUUGGAGGUGGGACCGAUGACUUCGGUCCUUCUUGGGCGGACCGCUUCUGACUACCUCGCUUUGGAGGCGAGGGGACCGACCGUGCACUCUUUGGAGAGGGCGGUGCAGGCAGUGGAGGUGGUGGGGCCGAUCUUUUCGGCGUUGGAGAACGCGGUGGAGGAGGUGGAGACCAUGGUGGAGGCGGUGGCGGGGUCGGUGUGGCCGCCGCAGGUGUUGGAGGAGAUCCCGCAUUGUCACCGCCCGCAGCACUAUGAUGCGCUGGGGAGAGAACUGGACUUAGGUUGGAGGAGUCCCUGCAAAGAAAACAAUUACAAGUUUUGUGAGCAAACUUUUUUUUAAUUUCAAUACAUAAUAAAUAAUAUAAGAUGUAAAAUCACACACAAACCUAUGUUGAGGAAUAAUUAUGAAGCGCUUGCGCCAACAAAUAAAUGUCUUCUCAGCUUCACCUAAGGUCUUCUCUCCGUCUCCCCCUUCUAUGUCUAGAGGCACAUUGCCACAACCUUUCUCAACCCUAUCAACCGAGACGCUAGCAUAUCCACUAGGUACUGGUCGAUUAUGGAUUCUUGGAGUUCUCGUUCGGUCGAUAGGGUUGACAACAGCGAUAGCCACCUUUUUUGUUGCAUUUCCAUCUGGUACAUGCAGCUCACAGGUAGCAAAAGCCUCUGUGACAUCAUCCACGGGGAAGUGUAGCUUCGUGUCAUCCUGAAUGGUUGGUACUUCCGUGGAUGCGCAGCUGCUUUUCAACUGGCCUGGGGGGCUAACGUUGACCUCAGGCUGUGAUGUACCUUGCCCUUUCGUCAUUUGACUAAGUGCUGCUUGCACUUGCCUUUGAAUCUCCGCCUGCAUCCAUUCUUCACGAGCUUUCUCGCGCUCUUCUGACUGCAGAACAAAAGCUUCAAGGCGGCGGAUCCGCUCUGCCUCCUCAUCCUUCUUUCUCUGGCGGCUUCUGUACGUAUCUUGAUCGACUUGGAAUGAUUGCAGCCACGGAACUGCCCCAUAGCCUCUCGUACGCCCACCGUGCUCAGGAUUUUCAAGCGCAUAGGUGAGUUCAUCCUUCUCCCUGUUAGGCCUGAACUCACCAGACUGAACCACUUCUCGUGCACGGACUAGUCUAUCUGCUGCUUUAGAUAUUUCUUGGCCCCAAACUAGCACCCCGGUGUCUGGGUCCACGCUUCCCCCAUGACCGUAGAACCAAUGCUUGGAGCGCUCGCUCCAAUUCUUUGCUAUUGUCUCGGGUGUGACCCCCCUAGCAAGCAUCUCCUGUUCCAUUCGGUCCCACUUGAGAACAGCACUCUUAUAACCACCUGAUCCCAUGUGAUGGUGGUAUGUCUUUUUACUUGCAUUCUCUUUGUUUCUAUUGGCUCGUUCCUCGCCCUCUUCUGAUGUUUUGUACUGCACAAAGUCAUCCCAGAAGGCCCUCAGCUUUACAUAUUGCUUGAGGUUGAAAUUUGGAGUCUCGUUUUUCUUGACAUAUUUAUUGUACAAAGUCUUCUUCCAAUUCUGGAAGAGUACUGCCAUCUUCUUUAUAGUCCAGUCAUAAAUUCGCACCUUCAACUCUUCAUCGUUGGUGUCGAAGGUGAAAACGUCUGUGACGGCUUUCCAAACUAACUCCUUGUCACGAUCAGAGACAAAACUGAUCUCAGGAGCACCUCGCUUCUCUCUCCAUUCACGAGCACUGAUCGGUAUUUGAUCUCUCACAAGAUAUCCACAGUGACUAACAUAUUUAUUUGCAUGUUCACCAAGUGGUCUGCCUGUAGCUAUCUCAAACUCAGAGAUUACAUAGCGGACCUCCAACGGCUUCUUUGGCCCUCGUGGAGGUACGCUUCUCCCCGUAGAGGUCGAUCCAGAAGGCUACACGUAGAUAUAGAAACAAAAAUACUAAAUUAAUAACCAAGUAAGUCUAAAACCUAAUGUAAUAGAUGCAUUAAUUAUAUAUGUUUACAUUUACAUACCUUGCCAGUAUUUUCUUCUUGUUGCACGACAAGUUGUUGCUCAGGCGCAUUGCUCUCUUGUUGCUCAGGGGCAUUGCUCUCUUGUUGCUCAGUAGGAUUGCCUUGCGUGAUCUUGUGGUAAUCAAUAAAGUACUGACUACCGUCGUCGAUUAUAUUUUGAAUGGCAUCUUCCAUAUAUUUAGGAUCAUCAUGAGCACGAUCAACCAUUUCUAUGUCUGCAACCAUAUAUAUAUAUAUAUAUAUAUUCUAUAUAAGAUAAGAAAUACACUAGAAUAAUAUAAGUGCUAGAGUGCUCCAAACUAAAAAAUAAUACUAAAAAAAAUAAUAUGAACAAUAACACUAGAAUAAUAUAAGUGCUAGAGUGCUCCAAACUAAAAAGUAAUACUAAAAAAAUAAUACGGACAAUAAUACUAGAAUAAUAUACUAGCACAAUAUAUUUCAUAACAAUUCAAAACACUACAAUUCAUAAUAUACUAGAAUAAUAUACUAAAAAGUCUUUUAAGCCAAGUAAUAUACUAGAAUAAUAUACUAAAAAUAAUACUAAAAAAUAAUACUAGAAUAAUAGUAUAAACAAUAAUAGUAUAUGUUUUAAGCCAAGUAAUAUACUAGAAUAAUAUACUAAAAAAUAAUACUAGAAUAAUAGUAUAAACAAUAAUAGUAUAUGUUUUAAGCCAAGUAAUACACUUGCACCUAGAAUAAUGUACUAAAAAAAUUAAUACUACAAAAUCAUACAAGAAUAAUAUAAGUGCUAGAGUGCUCCAAACUAAAAAAUAAUACUUUAAAAAAUAAUACGUACAAUAAUACUAGAAUAAUAUACUAGCACAAUAUAUUUCAUAACAAUUCAAAACACUACAAUUCAUAAUAUACUAGAAUAACAUACUAAAAAGUCUUUUAAGCCAAGUAAUAUACUAGAAUAAUAUACUAAAAAAUAAUACUAAAAAAUAAUACUAAAAAAUAAUACUAUAAUAAUAGUCUAAACUAAUAGUAUAUGUUUUAAGCCAAGUAAUACACUUGCACCUACAAUAAUAUACUAAAAAUUAAUACUACUACAAAAUGAUACAAGAAUAAUAUAAGUGCAUAUAUAUAUACAUAAUAAUACAAAAUAAUAGUAUAUAAACUGUUGGUAUGAAAUAUAAGUGCAUAUAUAAUGAUACAAAAUAAUAGUACAUAAUUAAGUGCAUAUAAAAUAAUAGUAUAUAUACAUAAUGAUACAAAAUAAUAGUAUAAAAUAAUGAUACAAGAACAAAAUGAUACAAGAAUAAUAGUAUAUAUAUAUAUACAUACAUACAUACACAUACAUAUAUAUAUAUAAGAUAUAUAUAUAUAUAACAUAUUAUUCAUCGAAACUGUUGGUAUUCAUAUAUAUAUACAAUUCAUAUAUACAAUUUUAGUCUAUACAUAUAAACUAUUGGCAUUUAUAUAUAUAUAUAUAGAUCGAUGAAGAAUAUACGUAGGAUCUGGUGGAGAUAGCCGCUGCAGCAGCGCUGGAGAUGAACGGCGGUGCUGGGGAGACGAACGGGCGGCGCUGGAGAUGGCGGCGGCGGCGCUGGAGACGAACGGCGGCGCUGGGGAGACGAACGGGCGGCGCUGGACGGCGGCGGCGGAGCUCUCUGCUCGACGAAGAUGAAGACAAAGGCAACUGCCCAGAUCCAGGGCGCCUGGGGCUUAUAUAGGGGCGGACCCUUUAGCACCGGUUCCAGCCACGGACCGGUGCUAAAGGGUCCUGCGCGCGCUAGGGUGGGCUCCUGAAAUUUUCAGGACUCUUUAGCACCGGUUCCCACUAUGGGCCGGUGCUAAAGGCCUUGUUUUUUAGUUUAGGGUUUUUCAAUUGUUUAUAUAUACAGUUUAUAUUAUAAAUUGUAUAUUAAAUUAAAUAUUGUCCAUAAUAUUUUUUAAACAGUGACAUAUAUUGUAGUUUUUUUUAUGUACACAUGAAAAAUUUUAACCUUAAAUAUCUUACUGUUUUUUUAUAAUUUGCAAUGAUUUUGUAAGAAAUGUUUACUAUUUUGUUAAUGCAAAAAUAUAUUAUUCCAAUAAAUUUACAAAAACUAUAUCCAAUCAACUGGAAAUCUAUUUUCACAUCAUAUUGACGUUAAACUUUUUAUUUUUGUUAUUUAUUACUCGGAAUGCUAGUAGGGUAUUGUUUUCAUCAAAUAAAAAUCUAUUUAUCAUAUAAAAAUAUAUAUCUUGAUGAACACACCCUUUGACCGAACCCUAAAUUGUCCCAAAUGGAAAAGUCAUGAAUACAAAGUUUGUUACACUCAUCAAGUUCUACAUUUUGUCUAAUGGUCAACUUUUCUUUUGGAAAAGUUUGAACCGCUAAAUUUUGAAUUUUCAGAGAAUUCAUGGCCACGCAGUGGUUUUGGAACCCUAGAUGGUCUCGAAUGGAAAAGUCAUGAAUACCAAAAUUGUUCCACUCAUCAAAAUUUACAUUUAAUAUAUAGACCAUUUUUGCAUUUGACAAAGUUUUAGGAAGGUGUAGUGAAAAUCCACAAUUGACACAUAUAGUUUCAUAUAGUUUGUGUGAGUGUUGAUAUUUGGGAACGCAAUAAGGAAUUGAUCCGUAAGCGCACGGAUAUCGGUGAGCACUUCACCCGGGAAAUUAUCCAGAGUAUCGUAUUUAUUUUUUUACCACUAGGAGAAAGAGUGCAUCUGACUAACCGGUCUAUUACUACUAACCCUUUAGGCAACAAAGAAUGUCUCUCGAUGUGAGUGAUAAAUAGAGAAGACUGCAACCGUAGUCUUCUUCUAAACUUGGUAAGGAUGAUCUACUGUUCUAUUAGAGAGGCUAACGGAAUCUAGACACCACAAAGGAUGUUCAACCCGCACCUAUAAACCCUAUCCUUCCUGCUAACGAGAUAUGGUCUGCAAAGGUAACUCGGAAUUGUCACGUUCCUCACUACUACCACGGUCUAGCUAGUCAGGGAAUAUCUAUGAGUACCCCAGCCUAAACACCACGUUUACACCAGCAAUGAUUACUCUAAACUCUACGUGAAGAGAUUAAAGUAAACUCAUAAACCAGAAGAACAAUAAAACAAGAACUUACUAGAAUUUAGAAGUCGAAAUAUUGAAGAAUCCUAGGAGCAAGCUUCGUGUUAGGAGAACUUGAUCCCGUAGGUACAAGCUUGGAGUAGACACCGACAGGCCGAGCUUCCUCCAAUCUACACCUCCACUCUAUCUCUCUCAAUCUAGUAGAAACUAGAAGAUCUAUUUCUACUUUAUAUUGGUUGCUAAGCCUAAAAAGAAAUAUUAAUUAGAGAAGAGGUUUUCCUUUGAGGGCACCCCUCAAUCUGUAUGACAAUUUCUUGUCUUCUCCAGGGGCCAGGGGGGUCUCCUUAUAUAGUCCUUCUCCUUUAUGCGUUUUUGGGUCGGUAGGCGAGGUGGUACUACAUUAUCUUUGAUCCAUUAGGUCGGUGGAACAUCGUGUGCGAAGAGAGUCCCGAACGGGAUCCAGCAGGGGGCGGGCGCCCUGGGCCUGGCCCCUUUCGGCCUCUGCUUCGUUCUCGUGGCUUCUGGAGUGUUCUAGAUGGUAGACAAUCGCGCGGUGCGUUGAUAUCUCUAUGUAAUCCCGACAUGUGGGUCUUUCUUCCUUAUUUCCUGAUAACCCCCUGCAGAAACAGAUAAACAACAAAACUCGUGGAAUUCUGUCAGAUCAAACCCUAAUUCUAGGUGUUGGUUGCAUAUUGGUCCUUUCUCUUGUUUAUCUGAUAAUUAAAAUUGAUACUUAAGAACCGUCAACAAAUACCCCCAUACUUAGGCUUUUACUCGUCCUCGAGAAAAGGAUGGUUAAGAACAAUACUUGGGGUAAAGCAUUCUAAAACAUUCUUUAUAUUUGCAGGGUAUUAGAAUCCACUGUGUACUGUAGUUAGGGAAGUAUAUGAUUAAGAGUAAAGAUUCUUUCUUCUCAAUCCUGUUACUUGGAGUUUUUGUAUAAUUUUGAAAGAAAGCUAGCAUACCUUUUAUCCUCAUAGGUUCUCUCAGAUUACUCAUUAUCUUUUAUAUAUCUCACUGAGGCUGUUUUAAUUUGCAAAAAUUCUUAAGCAUAUUUACUUUGCAUUUAUUGCCUGAUCAAAACGGGAUCCAAGGAGGGGAAUGUCAUACUCUUAGAUCAAAGACUUUGGAAAUUAAAACUUUGUCAAAUCUUGCUGGCAUAUUGCUUAUUAGAGGGACCAUGGGCUAUCAUUUUCUUUUUCUCUCUUUUUUUUAAUGGAUACCGAGGUAUCCCUAAUUCUACUGCCGGACACUUGUCCAUUUUUUCUGCGAGGUUGUCGAGCACUUGCUCCUUUUUAUUUCCUCGAAAUAUCUUUAUUUUUUGCAUAGCCCAUGCCUCUAAUGUAAUAAUACUUCGGAAGAGUGAAUCUUUCUGAAUAAAUGUCUUGAUCUUAGGAGUAUGAUAAAUCUCUCAACAAGGGUCUAACUCAUUUUGAACAAACUCAAUACAGAGUAGAUAGCUUUUAUAAUCAUAAUUAAUAUUUUCAGUUUUAUCAGGCAUAUAAAAUACUGAGGAUGGUAGCUAGAAUUUUGAAGAUUUUGAAAUAAAUUCUCCAAGCAACUCAUACUCUACCAUUACAUAUUCCAUAUUGACUUAAGUAAUACAGGGUUUUAAAAAUGAUUUUCAAUAAUUGCAAGUUUUCAAGAAAUAUCACAGAUUGAGAUUAAUCAUGAUUAGAAAUAUUUUAAUCUUUUUAAUGUAUCAUGUCGGAAACAGUAAUCUGCAUAAUCAAGAUAUGUGAAGUGUAAAGUAAAGUGUGCAGAGUGUGUACCUGAAUCGUGGAGUGGUGUAGUCGAAGUGUGUUUGGCGUGUCGAUGGAUCUCUCCCAUACUUGUUUUCUGCUUUCUUGCACAAAAAUAAAGUAGAGACACACAAGACAUAAUAAUAGUAAUACUCUUUAUUAAUCUUGAGGCAUUUAUUACAAAAGACUAGUAGCAAACUGAUGAUAAUAGUAAACCUAAACCGAAUUUAAAGAUAAAUAACUAAGAUGCAUUGCCUCAAGGUCUAAUCUAGAUAACUUAGCGGCGCUCUAAUUCCUUAAUCUUCUUGUUGGCACUGGCAAGAUCAUGCCUAAGGCCUAGUAUAAUAGUGUUGUGGUUAGAGAGCUGCCUAGUGAGGGAAUUAAUCGAGGACUGGAGGUCUAUGAUAACUCUGUCUAGCAUGCGAAUGUCCUCAUCAAUAUCGACUAUAGUCUUGCGACGCUUGGGAGGUGUCUCAAAAGCACUGAGAGCGUGUUUCGGGGCUGCCUUUGGAGGGAUGAAACGGACUUUGGCUGCUCUAAUCCCUUCAAAGUAAGGCCUCUCCUCCUCCGUAGUGUAGCGAAUACUGCUGAUCUCGCCGCUCCGGUUGGUCUUGACUCCAACGAGACUCUUAUUGGGUCUAGGUGGAAGGAUCCUUGUGCCGGAUGGCACUGGUCUUUGUCUUGGAUGAUGAUCCCUUAAGGAGUAGGGGUUGUGGCGGUGCGGUGAGAACUGGUUGAGCAUGAUAGGAUUGGGCGAAGCUACGUUGGCGUAAUGGCAUGGCUUCUAGCUGUCGCUCUGUGUUGGCCGGGACGAGAGCACGGGCAUCGAGGUCUUCCACAGGCUCCAUGUUGAGGUUGAAGGGGACGACUUCCCAAUCAUUGUGGAACUUCUCGGCCAUUGGAGCAGCAAGGAACUAAUCAAGCUCUAAUUGAAGAAGAAAAGAAGGCUUGAUGGUUUGGUGUUUGAAAACUGAUGUCAGGGGUCUGUUUAUAUAGGGGUCAAAAAGUGUCUCUAUGGGUUGUUCGGGUUGCUCCCGUCGAUGUGCUUGCGAAGCUUUCCAUCUGAGGGAUUAUUCGGAUUACCAUAAGUGCAUUUUCCAUAACAGAGAAAAUCGGGACCGAGGGGGAACAGGAGCUGGGCGCCCGCCCACCUGAUCUGGGCGCCCGCCCUCUCUCUGGCCCCUCUGUGGGUCCACUUCCUCGAGCGCGUUAUUAGAUGCAAAACUAUUUAGAAAAAUAUAUAUAUGACCCAAAAACGUUAGAAUAAAAAGGUCGGGCUUCAAAUUCUCCAUGGGAAGGUGAAAAUGGACUACGUCUAUUUCUUCUAAUUGUUUAUUGGGAUCUAAAAAUAAUUUAAGACGUUGACCAUUUACCUUGAAUAACGUACCUUCGUCAUUUUGAAGUGUGAUAGCUCCGUGGGAUGAUGAAUUAAUUACCUUGAAUGGUCCUUCCCAUUUGCUCCGGAGUUUUCCAUGCCCGAAAAGCUUCACCCUGGAAUUAAAAAGCAAUACCUUAUCUCUGGGUGUGAACUCCUUCUUGUUGAUUCUCUUGUCAUGCCACCUUUUGACUCUUUCUUUGUAGAUCUUUGAAUUGUGAUAUACCUUCUCUCGCCAUUCUUCCAAUUCUGAUAGUUGCAUUCUUCUAUAAUCUCCAGCAACAUCUAGGUCCAUAUUCCAUCUCUUUAUGGCUCAGUGUGCUUUGAACUCUAGUUCAACGGGUAGAUGGCAAGUCUUCCCGUACACCAAUUGGUAUGGAGACAUUCCAAUUGGGGUCUUGUAUGCUGUCCGGUAUGCCCAGAGUGCAUCGGGUAACUUGUCUUUCCACGCCGUUCCCAUUUCAUUUACUGUCUUCUGAAGAAUAUUCUUGAUUUCUUUGUUGGAAGUCUCUGCUUGGCCACUUGUCUGCGGAUGAUAGGGGGUAGCGACGUUGUGACGGAUUCCAUGUUUUGAUAGAUAUUGCUUGAAGCGUUUGUCGAUGAAGUGUGCUCCUCCAUCACUUAUCACUACUCUGGGGACUCCAAAUCUUGGAAAUAUAAUUUCUUCAAACAUCCUCUUUGAACUGACGUUGUCGGCAUGCUUGCAAGGUAAUGCCUCUACCCACUUGGAGACAUAGUCAACUGCCACCAAGAUAUACUCACAAUUUCUUUGAUGGAGGAAAUGGACCCAUGUAGUCUAUUCCCCAGACAUCAAAGAGCUCAAUCUGAAGGUUGUUGGUGAGUGGCAUUGCAUCCCUUGUAUUUAUGUUUCCGUGUCUUCGACAUGGCCCACAUCUUCUGAUAUAAUGCUUCGUAUCUUCAUACAUUGUAGGCCAGUAGAAUCCACACUGCCAGAUCUUUGAAUGUGUGCGGAAUGCUCCAUAGUGACCUCCAUAUGGUGAUGAAUGACAUCUGUCGAUGAUCUUCCAUCCUUCCUCAGUGGUCACACAUCUCCUAAGUAAGCCAUCAGAGCAUACUCGGAAGAGGUAUGGCUCAUCCCAUAUAUGUGAACGACUUUCUUGAAUAAGCUUCUUCUUGUUUGCUCCUGGUGGUACAUACCCUGAAACCAUAAAAUUAACAAUAUCUGCAUACCAGGGGUCAGACCUGUUAAUCCCGUAGAGCAUGUCGUCCCGGAGUGAAUCAUUGAUGGGGGUUUCCUGUGGACUCUUAAAAUACAUUCUAGACAAGUGAUCAACAAUAGAAUUUUCUACUCCCUUUUUAUCUUUUAUUUCUAAGUCAAAUUCUUGGAGUAAUAAGAUCCAUCUAAUCAGGCGAGGUUUAGCAUCUUUUUUAGUGAGCAAAUAUUUUAGUGUAGCAUGAUCAGUGUAAACAAUUAUUUUAGCUCCAACUAAAUAAGAUCUAAAUUUAUCAAUGGCAAAGACAACAGCCAAAAGCUCUUUUUCAGUGGUUGCAUAAUUAAGUUGAGCUCCUAUCAAAGUUUUACUGGCAUAAGCAAUUGCAUGAUGCUUCUUAUUUUUAGUUUGUCCCAAAACUGCCCCCACAGCAUAAUCACUAGCAUCACACAUAAUUUCAAAAGGCAACAACCAAUCAGGGGGUUGAAUGAUUGGUGCAGAGAUGAGUGCUUUCUUUAAUAAAUUAAAAGAUGUUAGACAUGCAUCAUCAAAUUCGAAAGGAGCAUCCUUGGCUAGCAAAAGAGUAAGUGGUCUAGCAAUGAAUGAGAAAUCUUUUAUAAAUCUACGAUAAAAACCAGCAUGGCCAAGAAAGCUUCGAAUUCCUUUUAUAUUCAUAGGUGGAGGUAGUUGUUCAAUUACUUCAAUUUUAGCUUUGUCUACCUCAAUACCUCUUUCAGACACUAAGUGUCCCAGCACUAUUCCUUCUCUAACCAUAAAAUGAUAUUUUUCCCAAUUAAGGACUAAGUGCUUUUCUUCACAUCUUUGCAAAACCUUGUCUAAGUUUUCAAGACAACUAUCAAAAGUUUUUCCAUAAACAGAGAAAUCAUCCAUGAAAACUUCCAUAAUCUCUUCAAUCAUAUCAGAAAAUAUAGACAUCAUGCAUCUUUGAAAAGAAGCUGGUGCAUUACAUAACCUAAAAGACAUUCUACGGUAAGCAUAAGUUCCAUAUGGGCAUGUAAAAGUGGUUUUGCUUUGAUCAUCGGGAUGGAUCGGGAUCUGAUGAUACCCUGAAUAUCCAUCUAAAAAACAGAAGAAUGAAUGGUUCGCUAACCGCUCUAGCAUCUCAUCUAUGAAAGGUAAAGGAAAGUGAUCCUUUCUCGUGGCUUUGUUUAGUUUUCUAUAGUUUAUGCACAUCUGCCAUCCUGUGACGGUGCGUUGCGGAAUUAGCUCGUUCUUUUCAUUCAUAAUAACAGUCAUGCCUCCCUUUUUAGGCACAACUUGAACUGGGCUUACCCACUCACUGUGCGGCACAUGAUAUAUAAUCCCUGCAUGCAGCAACUUUAUAACUUCCUUUUUAACUACCUCUCUCAUAGUGUUAUUAAGUCUACGUUGGGGUUCUCGAGAGGGUGAAACAGAAGGAUCUGUUGGAAUACGAUGGGUACAAAUCAUAGGACUGAUUCCUGUAAGAUCUUGGAGUGAGUAGCCGAAAACUGAGUGAUGUUUCUCAAGAAUGGUCAUUAAUCCCAGAGUUUGCUCCUGAGUGAGUUUAUUGCUAAUGAUCACAGGAAACUCUGGAUUAUUGUUUAGGAAAGCAUAGGUAAGACCGGGUGGUAAAGUUUUAAGCUCUAUGGGGGGUCUAGUUGUUUCUGCAAACUCAUCUAAAGGUUCAGGUUCAGAAGGUUCGGUUUCUUCUUCUAUGAAGAAAGGAGUUUCGUCUUCUAAGUCUGAUUCUUCUAAAAGCUCUAGAGAUGCAGCCUUUACCUCCUCCAUAGGAUCAGGCAAAAGAUAUGAUUCGGCCUUAUUGUUUAAGGAGUGUGAAAUUGUUAUUGGGAAUUUAAAGGCUUUUCCAAAAGAAAUGUGUAGCUUUCCAGUAUGACCUUCAUAAAGGAGUCUUCUAAAAGGUUGUCCUAUCAACAGGUCGAAGUCCCAUGUAUCAAAGAUAUAGAAGUUCAAAUGAACCAUGGAGCCUUCUACCGUAAGAGGUAGGACAUUAAUAAUUCCAAGACUGGGGACUAAUCGUCCCGAAGAUUCCUUUAUGACCUUUGUUGUGGGGGUUAAGACAAGAUUUUUAAAUAGUUUAAGUGCAAAAGAUUUAGACAUGAUGUUGAUGCCCACAACAGGAUUAUAAAGAGCAUUAAAUCGAUCAGAAUUAUAAGCACAGCGUAUAGUUAUAGAGGGUGUGUCCAAACGGAUCAUAUCAGAGGAAAGCUCUGAUUCCUCCAACCAUUCGCUACUCAUGACUGAGAUAAGCUCUCUCAAUUGAUAUUCACUUGGCAAAUAAAUGCUAAACUGGCCGUUUUGGGGUUUGUCAAUAGAAUGGUAGUUUGAAAUGUUUCGAAAAUCGGCAAAAAGAUCGGAUUCUAUAUCCAGCAUGAAGUCCGGUGGUGGAAUUUCUUCCUCUUGUGGCUCAGAACUUGGGAUAGCUAAAGUAGAUGAAGAAUUUGGCAGAGUGUCUACUUCGGCUUCGUAGGUUUCAUCAUGAAGGGUAUUAUCCAUCUCAGCUUCUAGGAUUCUAUCUAGGAUCACUCUAGCUUCAUCAGUAGGGAUGCGAAAGAAAGAACCUCUAGACAUUGUGUGUAGCAUUUGUUUGUGAUUUUUCUGAAGACUUCGAAAAAAGUGAAAUAAAAGAACAGGGUCUUCAAGAUUAAGGUUUGGACCAGAUUCUAAAAGAUCAGAAAAACGUUUCCAGGAUUUUCCCAAAGUUUCAUUAUCUUUUUGUUUAAAAGAUAGGACUUCGAGUCUAAGGUCGGCUAUACGGUCAAGAGAAUAGAAAUCUAGACAAAAGUUAGCUCGUAAAACUCCCCAUUCACCUCGUUGUUGACUUACCUUCUGACUGUACCAUUGUCUAGCUUCUCCCCUUAAGGAAAAAGGAAAAAGCUUCCAAUGUAAAGUUUUAUCAGAUAUGCCUUCAAUGCGAAGACAAUCACAUGUUUGCUCAAAAUCUCUAAUAUGAAGGUAAGGGUUUUCGUCUUCCUUUCCCGAAAAAGAUAGGAUUUGAAUCAUGGCAAUCAACCUAGAACUUAACUUAUACUGGGAUGUUUGGAUAGGUUGUGAUGACUCCCAUGGUAAAAGGUCAGUUACUGAAAGGAUUGCAGACUCAUGGAUUGAUUUAGAAUUUUGGUUUUCCAUAAGGUAAGAGUAAAGAAAAUAAAUAAAGAAUAUAAAAGAUAAGAAAAGAUAAAAGUAUAGAUACAAGCUAGUAGUAAGACUCAAGGUUAUCUCAGCAAACUGUCUUUCUCCCCGGCAACGGUGCCAUAAAUGCUUGUUGAUAUUUGGGAACGCAAUAAGGAAUUGAUCCGCAAGCGCACGGAUAUCGGUGAGCACUUCACCCGGGAAAUUAUCCAGAGUAUCGUAUUUAUUUUUUUUACCACUAGGAGAAAGAGUGCAUCUGACUAACCGGUCUAUUACUACUAACCCUUGAGGCAACAAAGGAUGUCUCUCGAUGUGAGUGAUAAAUAGAGAAGACUGCAACCGUAGUCUUCUUCUAACCUUGGUAAGGAUGAUCUACUGUUCUAUUGGGGAGGCUAACGGAAUCUAGACACCAUAAAGGAUGUUCAACCCGCACCUAUAAACCCUAUCCUUCCUGCUAACGAGAUAUGGUGUGCAAAGGUAACUCGGAAUUGUCACGUUCCUCGCUACUACCACGGUCUAGCUAGUCAGGGAAUAUCUAUGAGUACCCCAGCCUAAACACCACGUUUACGCCAGCAAUGAUUACUCUAAACUCUACGCGAAGAGAUUAAAGUAAACUCAUAAACCAGAAGAACAAUAAAACAAGAACUUACUAGAAUUUAGAAGUCGAAAUACUGAAGAAUCCUAGGAGCAAGCUUCGGGUUAGGAGAACUUGAUCCCGUAGGUACAAGCUUAGAGUAGACACCGACAGGCCGGGCUUCCUCCAAUCUACACCUCCACUCUAUCUCUCUCAAUCUAGUAGAAACUAGAAGAUCUAUUUCUACUUUACAUUGGUUGCUAAGCCUAAAAAGAAAUAUUAAUUAGAGAAGAGGUUUUCCUUCGAGGGCACCCCUCAAUCUGUAUGACAAUUUCUUGUCUUCUCCAGGGGCCAGGGGGUCUCCUUAUAUAGUCCUUCUCCUCUAUGCGUUUUUGGGUCGGUAGGCGAGGUGGUACUACAUUAUCUUUGAUCCAUUAGGUCGGUGGAACAUCGUGUGUGAAGAGAGUCCCGAACGGGAUCCAGCAGGGGGCGGGCGCCCUGGGCCUGGCCCCUUUCGGCCUCUGCUUCGUUCUCGUGGCUUCUAGAGUCUUCUAGAUGGUAGAAAAUCGUGCGGUGCGUUGAUAUCUCUAUGUAAUCCCGACAUGUGGGCCUUUCUUCCUUAUUUCCUGAUAACCCCCUGCAGAAAUAGAUAAACAACAAAACACGUGGAAUUCUGUUAGAGCAAACCCUAAUUCUAGGUGUUGGUUGCAUAUUGGUCCUUUCUCUUGUUUAUCUGAUAAUUAAAAUUGAUACUUAAGAACCGUCAACAGUGAGAUUCAAGAAUUGGUGGGUAUUGUUAACUUAAACUUUCUCAAAUGGAAAAGUUGUGUAUAUAAAAAGUUUAGAUCUUGAUGAUAUCUAACAACUUGGUAUUCAUAAUUUUUUCAUUUUAAGUAAUUUAGUUUGUCAUUUGACCAAGUUUGACCAAAACCCGUCUUGGAUUUUAUAGAAAUGUGAUUAGGAUUGGCAAAAAAUUAUCCAAAUGGAAAAAUGGACAAUAUAUAAAAUGUAGAUCUUGAUGAUCUCUAACAACUUUGUAUUCAAAAUUUUUUCAUUUGAAGUCAUCAAAUGGGCCAUUUGAUCAAGUUUGACCAAAGUCAAAGCAUUGGUUUUUACAAAAACACUCUUUGACCGAACCCUAAAUUGUCCCAAAUGGAAAAGUCAUGAAUACAAAGUUUGUUACACUCAUCAAGUUCUACAUUUUGUCCAAUGGUCAACUUUUCUUUUGGAAAAGUUUGAACCACUAAAUUUUGAAUUUUCAGAGAAUUCAUGGCCACGCAGCGGUUUUGGAACCCUAGAUGGUUUUGAAUGGAAAAGUCAUGAAUACCAAUAUUGUUCCACUCAUCAAAAUCUACAUUUAAUAUAUAGACCACUUUUGCAUUUGACAAAGUUUUAGGAAGGUGUAGUCGAAAAUCCACAAUUGACACAUAUAGUUUCAUAUAGUUUGUGUGAGAUUCAAGAAUUGGUGGGUAUUGUUAACUUAAACUUUCUCAAAUGGAAAUGUUGUGUAUAUAAAAAGUUUAGAUCUUGAUGAUAUCUAACAACUUGGUAUUCAAAAUGUUUUCAUUUUAAGUAAUUUAGUUUGUCAUUUGACCAAGUUUGACCAAAACCCGUCUUGGAUUUUAUAGAAAUGUGAUUAGGAUUGGCUAAAAAUUAUCCAAAUGGAAAAAUGGACAAUAUAUAAAAUGUAGAUCUUGAUGAUCUCUAACAACUUUGUAUUCAAAAUUUUUUCAUUUGAAGUCAUCAAAUGGGCCAUUUGAUCAAGUUUGACCAAAGUCAAAGCAUUGGUUUUUACAAAAACACUCUUUGAUCGAACUCUAGAUUGUCCCAAAUGGAAAAGUCAUGAAUACAAAGUUUGUUACACUCAUCAAGUUCUACAUUUUAUCUAAUGGUCAACUUUUCUUUUGGAAAAGUUUGAACCACUAAAUUUUGAAUUUUCAGAGAAUUCAUGGCCACGCAACGGUUUUGGAACCCUAGAUGGUCUCGAAUGGAAAAGUCAUGAAUACCAAUAUUGUUCCACUCAUCAAAAUCUACAUUUAAUAUAUAGACCACUUUUGAAUUUGACAAAGUUUUAGGAAGGUGUAGUUGAAAAUCCACAAUUGACACAUAUAGUUUCAUAUAGUUUGUGUGAGAUUCAAGAAUUGGUGGGUAUUGUUAACUUAAACUUUCUCAAAUGAAAAAGUUGUGUAUAUAAAAAGUUUAGAUCUUGAUGAUAUCUAACAACUUGGUAUUCAAAAUUUUUUCAUUUUAAGUAAUUUAGUUUGUCAUUUGACCAAGUUUGACCAAAACCCGUGUGGGAUUUUAUAGAAAUGUGAUUAGGAUUGGCUAAAAAUUAUCCAAAUGGAAAAUAGACAAUAUAUAAAAUGUAGAUCUUGAUGAUCUCUAACAACUUUGUAUUCAAAAUUUUUUCAUUUGAAGUCAUCAAAUGGGCCAUUUGAUCAAGUUUGACCAAACUCAAAGCAUUGGUUUUUACAAAAACACUCUUUGACCGAACUCUAGAUUGUCCCAAAUGGAAAAGUCAUGAAUACAAAGUUUGUUACACUCAUCAAAAUUCACAAUUCUCAAAUACAGUUUCAUACAAAGUUUGUUACGGUCCACUAUUGUUAAGGUCCACUGUUGUCAUCCCAUACUCCUUGUCGACUGUUACCCCACCUCCGGUCAUCUUCACCAAUUGACACCGGAACAAAGGAACUUUAAAAUUAGCUGCAUAGACUAGUUCCCAUAUGUCUUCUAUGCGUCCAUAAUAUGUUUGUCUGUUCCCAUUUGGAUCUGUGGCAUCCACGCGUACACCACUAUUUUGGUUGGUGCUCCUUUUAUCUUGGCCAACUGUCUAAAAUGUGUUACCAUUUAUCUCGUACCCUUUGUACGUGAGGACAUGCCAUGAUGGUUGCCUGGCCAACAAAUAAAGCUGCUCAUUAAUGUUUUCAUCACCUUGACAUUUUUUGUGCAACCAAACGCCAAAAGUUUCCAUGUGGUGACGCAUUAUCCAAGCUUCAUUCUUCCCGGGCCACUGGGACCGUAGGAAAUCUUUGUGUACCUCAACAUAUGGUUCCACCAAUGAGGAGUUCUGGAGAACUGUGUAGUGUGCUUUAUUGAAGUAAUCGUCUCCCAUACCAAUGUAUGUUUUCUUCCCAAGUGUUCCCUUUCCACUGAGUCUGCCCUCGUGUCGAGAUUCAGGAAUGCCAAUUGGGUCAAGGUCUGGAAUAAAGUUAACACAGAUCUCUAUGACCUCCUCUGUUUCGUAGCCCUUGGCAAUGCUUCCUUCUGGCCGGGAAUGACUAUGGACAUAUUUCUUUAGAACAUGUUGUGUAGGAACACAGGACCGAGAAUAUGAAUCUCUUUGACGAGAUGAACUAGGAGGUGUUUCAUGAUAUCGAAGAAGGAUGGAGGGAACACCAACUCAAAGCUGACGAGACAUUGAACGACAUCAUUCUGCAGAGUAGCUAGUUGCUCUGGAUUGAUUGCCUUCUGAGAAAUUGCAUUGAGUAAUGCACAUAGCUUUAUGGUGGCUAGACGUACGUGUGGAGGUAAAAUUCCUCUUAAAACGACCGGCAGCAAUUGCGUCAUUAGAACGUGACAGUCAUGGGACUUCAAGUUCAGGAAUUUCUUCUCUGGCACAUUAAUUAUUCCCUUGAUAUUGGAGGAGAAUCCAGAUGGGACCUUGAUGCUGCUAAGACAUUCAAACAUGCUUUCCUUCUCUUCUUUGCUCAGAGUGUAGCUAGCAGGGCUUAAGUAAUGACGUCCAUCAUCUGUCUUUUCUGGAUGCAGGUUGUCUCGUUCUUUCAUGUGCUGCAAGUCUUGUCAUGCUUCAAGUGAAUCCUUAGACUUCCCGUAGACACCCAUGAAUCCGAGCAAGUUCACACAAAGAUUCUUUGUCAGGUGCAUCACGUCGAUCGCGUUGCGGACCUCUAGGACAUUCCAGUAAGGUAGCUCCCAAAAUAUGGAUUUCUUCUUCCACAUGGGUAUGUGUCCCUUAGCAUCCUUGGGAAUAGGUUCGCUGCCUCGUCCCUUUCCAAAUACCACUUUUAUAUCCUUGACCAUUUUGAGUACAUCAUCCCCGGUUCGAUUGAGAGGUUUGGUCCGGUGGUCUGCCUUGCCUUUAAAAUGCUUGCCUUUCUUUCGUACUGGGUGGCUCACAGGAAGAAACCGACGGUGGCCAAGGUACACGACCUUUCGACAUUUUUUCAAAAAUACAUAGUCAAGGUCUUCAUAACAAUGUGUGCAUGAAAGAUUACUCAGAGCUGGCCAAUCAUUGAUUGUUAUAAACAGCAAUGCUCGCAGGUCAAAGUGCUCUUGUUUGUACUCAUCCCACACACGAACUCCUGGUUUGCUCCAUAAAAGUUGAAGUUCCUCAACUAAUGGCCUUAGGUAGACAUCUAUGUCAUUGCCAGGUUGCUUCGGUCCUUGGAUAAGCACCGGCAUCAUAAUAAACUUCCGCUUCAUGCAUAGCCAUGGAGGAAGGUUGUAGAUACAUAGAGUAACUGGCCAAGUGCUGUGACUACUGCUCUGCUCACCGAAAGGAUUCAUACCAUCUGUACUUAAGGCGAACCGCAAGUUUCUAGCAUCAUCUGCAAAAUCUGGGAAUUCUCUGUCUAUCGCUCUCCACUGGGAUCCAUCGGCAGGGUGUCUCAGCAUAUUGUCUAUCUUACGGUCUUCUUUAUGCCACCGCAACAACUUUGCAUUGUCCUUAUUUCUGAACAGACGUUUUAAUCAUGGUAUUAUAGGAGCAUACCACAUAACCUUGGCAGGAAUUUUCUUCCUAUGACGUUCUUCACCCUCAACAUCGCCAUGAUCAUCUCGUCUAAUCUUAUACCGUGAUGCCUUACAUACUGGACAUGCAUCCAAAUUCUCGUAUUCCUCCCCACGGUAGAGGAUGCAGUCAUUAGGACAUGCGUGUAUCUUCUGGAUUUCUAAUCCCAAAGGGCAGACAACCUGUUUUGCUUCAUACGUAGUGGUGGGCAAUUCGUUGCCUUUCGGAAGCAUCUUUUUUAUGAUCUUCAAUAACUGCCCAAAUGCCUUGUCAGAUGUACCAUUCUUUGCCUUCCAUUGCAGCAAUUCUAGUGUGGUACCCAGCUUUUUUUGCCCCUCUUCAGCGGUGGGAUAUAGCGAUUUCCUGUGGUCCUCUAGCAUGCGCUCGAACUUGGCUUUCUCUUUAUCACUUUCACAUUCUCUUUGUGCAUCACGGAUGACAUCACCAAAAGCAUCAUCGCCCCGAUCAUCUUCUGCCGCUACCUCUUCUUCAUUAUCUCCCCCCAUUGCAACAUCAUUGAAGCCACCGUACUGAGCAAUAAUAUUGGCAUGGUCCAAUUCUUCUUCUUUUUCUUCACCUUCAUCUAUUAUAAUCCCGCUUUCUCUAUGUUUGGUCUAACAAAUAUAGUUUGGUACGAAACCAAACUUUAAUAAGUGUGAAUGAAGAGUUCUUGAGUUAGAAUAUUCCGUCAAAUUCUUGCACACGGCACAUGGACAGCACAUGAAACCAUCCCUCUUAUUUGUCUCGGCCACUUAAGAAAUAGUGCACGCCAUUAAUGAACUAUUCGGAGCGCCGAUCGGCAUUAUACAUCCAAUUACGUGUUACCAUCUGCAUUAAAUAUAACAUAUAUAUUAUGAAAUCCAUGCACACAUAUAGUUUCUCAUCUUAUUGCACAACAUGUCUAAGAUACAUAGUUGAUUAAUUUAGGAAAGCUUUGGCUACAACAAAUACAAUCGCAACUAGAACUAAAAAACCAAAACUAAAAUGCACUUAAGCAACAUAAUUAGUUCGCGUCCGAUCCCAACUAUAAUAGAUAGAUCAUUCGCUUGAUCAACAUCAUUGAACUCCUUUCGUCGGCUCACUGCCUCACCACCUUCAGCCUCAACCAUCUGUGCAAAUGAUUUCUUAAUGUGUUCAAUGUAUUCUUCCUCCCAGUACCAACCUGUACAUCCACCGGUACCGUCCCACUAAAAUUAAAAGAGAGAAUCAAAAGUUUAAUUAAUAUCAUUUAAAAAAAAAUAUGCACAUAUAUAAGCAAAUGUCUGGAAAUAACUCACAUUACGAUCCGGACACUUGUAGAAUAUACGACCCUUGUUUACUCCCUCUUUCGACACUUUGUACUCCAUCAAAAUCUUCUGCCCACACUUGCCACAAGAAAUGAGAGGGAGUUCCGGACGGUAUCGCUUUUGAACCCGUUGAGAGACCGAAGACCCGGUCACGGUUGCCAUCUACUAUCCAUACUCAAUUUUUAAACAAUUAUAAAUUCCACAUUUACUAGUAAACAUGUAUGAUUAAAGAAGAACCUAAUAAUAUCCUUUAUUUGUCUAGUUACUUGAACAAAUCUUCUAAAUUAUACAAUGGACAUUAUGUAGUAAUAAAAAUAAAUCAAGUGAUAUUAACAAACCAAUUAAUUUGAACUAUCCUACUUUCUAAGAUCAUAAAAAGAUACUAUAAUUCAUUCUUGCAAACUACAUUAAUACUAGGUCAACCAUGAAAUAUGAUAUAUAUAUAUAUAUGGAUACUAAUUCAUGUGAAUGAUUCAAAAUAACAACGUGGAUUUGAGCUAAAAAUAAUGGGAACAUCACAAGCCAAAAACAACAUGAAAAAGACAAGAAAGACAAAAGUUAGUCACCUCCAAACACGAAGAAACGAUGACGGAGUCGAAGAAGAUCAACAAUGGGGGUCGGAGAUGAAGAACAAAUGAGGAAGAAGAAGCUCCAAGAACAACAAUGGUGAAUGGUGCUCUCGGUUUCAAAUGGGCAGAGAGGAGGAGUGAUCCAGCCUAUAAGCCUAUAAACCGGUUCAGGGACAAAUCCGGUGCUAAAGGCUUUGCCUCGGCCUGUGGCGCUGGCCGGUGCUAAAGGGGACCCUUUAGCACCGGUUGGUAACACGAACCGGUGCUAAAGGGUCUCUGCCCCGACAGCACCUGUCAGUAGCCGUUGGGCAGGACCCUUUAGCACCGGUUCGUGUUACGAACCGGUGUUAAAGGGGUCUUUAACCCCGGGCCGUAAAAAGGCCGAGGUUUUUGGCCAUUUUGGGCAUCGACCAAUGCCUCAUUCUGUAGUAGUGGAAGACAAAAACCGCAUGGCUGGGGGCGGCGGUGUUGGGUAUUUUAAACGCAAACAGAAAAAUCCGCAAGCGCACAGAUACCGAUGUAGCUUUCACCCGGGAGUAUUCCAGAGUAUCGAUUUUCCACAGAGAACGUGAGUGUACUAAUUAAGACCCAAGAUCGCCCAAGGAUAACUAUAUAAUUGUUUUUGGUGGGAAGAGAGGAAGUUUCCUGAGAGUUCUCUAGUUGAUCUAAGAAUCAAGAAUUACUUCAAGAUUAUCUAUUUCGGGACAUCAGAGCACUAACCACGGAAAGAGAUGAGAAGGGGGCUAGGAAGGUCUGACUACGGUCCUACAAACACCGAUCCGAACGUGGUGGAAUACGUCGACCGUUAGGGCUGUCACUACCCUAGGGCUACCACAACAAUCCGUAGGAUUGGGUGCAAUUCCAGGUAAUCACAAGACUAAACACCACGUCUAAUCUAUUAAUUACUACUCUAAUGUUUCAAAGACUAGAGCACUUGAUGCAAGCGGGAAUCCAAUAAAUAACUUGAAUGUAAAUAAAAGCAAUUAGAGAACUCAGGAGUUAUGAGUUGAAGAACCUGGAGAACGAUGAAGAAUGAACCAGAUGCUGCAAAAGUACAAUGUUGAGGAAGAUCCGACAGAUCCGGCUCCUCCUCCGCUCUCCUCUUCUCUCCCCCUAUUUUCUAGAUUACAACUAGAACUAACUAGAACUAGAACUAGAGGAACUAGAACUAGAACUAGAUGAACUAGAACUAGAUCUAGAUGAACUAGAGGUAGAACUAGAAGAACUAGAGGGAUCCUCUCUACUUGGAUGAAGAAUUGAAACCCUAACUUUGAUUCUGUAGAAGAGGUAUGAUCUCCAGGGGCCAGGAGGCCUUGCUUAUAUAGUCUUUUCAGAUGAAUCUGGGCCGUCGGAUCAAACCGACAUUGGUCGUGUGGUUUUUCUUGAAGUAUUAGGUCGGUGGAGCAUGAUCCGCGAAACGUGUCCUGAUUGGGCACUGUAGCUGGGCGGGCGCCCAGGAGAGUUGGGCGGGCGCCCUGCCUCCGAGCCCGAUUUCCUUCCCGUUCGUUCCCGUGGCUUCUAGAGUCUUCUAGAUAAUAGACCCGACGUGUGGGCCUUUCUUCCGUAUUUCCUGAUAACCCCCUGUAGAAAUAGACAAACACCAAAACUUGUAGAAUUCUGUCAGAUAAAACCCUAAGUCUAGGUGUUGGUUGCAUUUAGAUCCUUUUCCAUGAUUAAUUGAUGGUUAAAUAUGAGCAUUAAGGACCGUCAACAAGCUCCCCCAAGCUUAACCUUUGCUCGUCCCUGAGCAAAGAUGAACUCAAGAGUUUCUGCAGUGGUUUCAUAACUUAAAGAUACACAUGCGUUUAAACAAGAUCUCAUCUCUGGUUAGAGUAAACUGUUAAGACUUAAAACUUACUCAUUUACCUUUCACCAUGGGACUUGUAACCGUCACUUCUGUCUUGAGUAGUUAAAAGAUAGAACAGUCUAGUCAAGCGCCAUGUCUCUUGUUCUUCGAUUAACUAUAGCUCUGGAGUUUUUGCAGAUUUUCAAAUAAAACUCAGAGAUUCCUUGUAUGACUCUCUCUAGUCUCUUUUUUGUGGUAUUUCUGGAUGCUUACCAAGGCAGUAAUGGUGUAUACCUUCUCUCAAAGUAUGUGGUAUUUUUGGUAUGAGGCAUAGUGACAUUGCCUUCUCUCUCACCCUACUCUAAUAAGGCUUUUGAUAUCUGGAGCUCAUAGGUGCGAGACAGCUAAUACAUACUUACAAGACAUUUAUUGCAUAGUCAAACCAUGGAUCCAGAAGAACAAGUCAAUAAGUCAAAUCAAGAUGUGCAUGUGUGGCGAAUGAAUGGUGUAUGGUGAUGAUGGUGAUAACGAUGGUGAAAGUCUAAUUCUACUUAUGCUCUUUUGAGGGGAUACAUACCUUUCUUGCUCUUUUGAAACUUUUUGAGGAGAAUGAGAUGCUCUAUAUUUUCUUUUUCUUUCCUCUCAGGUGGGUAUCUUGUACCCCUAAUUCUACUGUCGGACACUUGUCCAUUUUUACCUCUCGUCUCACUUUUUUCUUUCUUUCGAGGUUCCGGGCACUUGCCCCUUUUUAUUUCCUCGUAUUUUUUUUCUAUUUUUUUUAGAGCACUCAUCUCUUGAAAUAAUGUAGCAAGUGGUAGUAACCAAGAUAACUUGAGCAUUUAUUUCACAAGGGAAAAACAGAAAUGUUUUUGGCUAUUCUCUCCCGGAUUAGGAGUAGAAUAUUUUUGGGUGGUUCUAGAGAUGGAAAUGGAUGGAUAUAUGUGGAUGCGUACUUCCAGAGUAGAAGCAACAUGUGUGAGUGAACGUGCAAGUGAAUCUUGAUUUAACCACAUGAGAAGCUCCUAAGGGUCUACAUAGCUUGACCACACUCAAUGCUCAUAAGCAGUAAAAAGUAAAUGUGUGGCUCAUAGUCUAACAAGCAUGUAUGUAUGGCUGUGGUAGGAAUUUAAACUCUCAUCAUACAGGAACUCAUCAUGUGUUAUUUUAAAGAUUUUCAAAGAUGAAAUUCUCCAGAAUUCUAGCAUCUCUAGGAACAGAUAAACAGCAGCUCAACCUUCCCAUAUCGUAUCCGUUAACGACUUAGACUUUAGAUCAAGUACUCUCCCCACAAGUUCAGGUUUAGAGCAAAUCUUAAUUAAUAACAGUCAUGCCUAAACUUGAGAGAGAUUUCAAUUUUGAGAACUAGUCAUGGCAGAGCAACUAUUCAUCAUUUCCAUGUGAGAGCUUAUCAUGAGGGUUCAUAGCUAACUUUAUUUAUUUAUUUAUUUAGCAAACUAAGCAAAGAUAUCUAAGCACAAAAUCUUUAUUUGGGUUUUUAUGAUUAUGCAUCUUUUUAUUAUUUGAGUAAAGUAUAAAUGUGAGUAAAAUACUUAGCUAGAUAAAUGGGGGUGCUCUCCCCCAAGCUGGAUUUUGACGCAAUUUCUUCUAAUGUAGCUAGCAGGCGGCGGAGGUGUAUUUGAAUGUUGGCAGCACCCUGACAGUGAUUAGGAUGUCCUCCGUCUGCUAGUCUUCUUUGAUCCUUGAAUUCUGUGGAGCUCAAAUAGACAACAAAGCUUUGUGGAACUGGUUAAGUGUUAGCAUAAAUAUCUAGCCUUUAUCAUGUUGAGCCUCCUCAAUAAAUGUUACUCUCUUUAGUAGGAUCAUAAAUUUAUUUUUAUAAUUUUAUAUUUAUAGGACAGGAAUAUAUUUAUUUUAUUUUUAUGCCACCACAGUGAAUGUACUUAUGGGUUUUAUGUCAUGAGCAUACUCACAUGGGGCUUACUAUUUUUAACAUUUUUAUUUUCUUUCCAAGAUGAUAUGAACCUGAUUAACUAAGCAAACUAUUUUAAAUAAUUAAAAGGAAAAAGAUAACUACCAAGUUUACCUCUUGGCAAGGCGUUCGGUGUUUUUAAGUCCUCCGAACGGGACUCUCUGCUUUCUCAGUCGUCCUGGGAUUCGCUAGAUGGCGUAGUCAGUGGUUCCGGCGGUGCCUCCUCUUCAUGUAUAACUAUCUUCUCUCUGCACACCUGACUCGGUGCUACGGUCUCCUCAGGACAGUUCUGUUCAAGUUGUUUGUCUUCAGACCUUACCACUUCUCCUUCGUAGUCUGCCCAUCCAUCUUUGAUGAUUUGCCUCCUCUGGUUGCGGUUGCGUCGUCUUCUUCUUGUCCGGACCUGCUUAGAGUCUUCAACUAUAUAGUUAGGGUCAGUUAAAUAGCGGCGUACCUUCUCAGAGGGGAAGUUCAUGUGGAUUUCUCCGGUUCCAAUGUAGAUGAUUGCUUUAACGGUGCUGAGGAACGGUCUUCCAAGGAUGACGGGUGGAUUGUGCUCGUCUUCUCCCAUGUCAAUAACCUUCAAUCUUUCAGAAUGUCUGGAGCUGAAAGUAUGUUGGUUGUAGGAACAUGGUUCCAUGCAGGAGCUGAUAAGUGACUGCGGCCAUUAUGUUGACGUUAGAUCCGGUGUCGUAGAGUGUCUUCUGAAAAGAAUAUCCGUUGAUUGUGCACUCGAUGAUUGGAACACUAGGGUCGUCCUUCUUGAUCAAGAAAGGCGACUUGAGUUGACGAUCUUGACCUCCUUGAGCUGCAGUGACCAUCUUAGCUGACUCAGUCCACAUUUGCUUGUUCCUGUUCCCCCUGUUGAUCAUCUCCCUUGGUUUAUGUCAGGAAUGCUCUGAGAUUUGUGUAGUCUUGUUUUUGAAGGAAAACGUCUCCUUCCUCCCCUUGAUGUAGAAACUAAUCUUGGCAGCACUAGCGUAGAUGACAGCUCCCGAGGUGUUCAGGAAUGGCCUCCCUAGGAUGAUGGGUGCCCUCUCAUCAGUAUCAGUCUCUAUCACCACGAAGUCUGCUGGAGCGUAUAAGGUACAAACUCGGACGUAGAGGUUCUUCAAUAUUCCCUUUGGGAAACUUAGCGUAUGAUCUGCAAGCUGCAAACACAUGGCUGUCUCUAAUAAAGGAUGUGUAAAUAAUUUUUCAUAGAGUACCCUGGGCGUAAUGUUGACACUGGAGCCAAAGUCGCAGAGUGCUUCUAGGAAGUCCACCAUGCCGAUGGAGAUCGGGAUGACGGGGCGUCCUGGAUUGUCUCUCUUGACCGGCAGAAGGUCAGUAAUUACUUCCACAACGGGGUUACUCCAGUAGUUACGUCCUCAAGCAUCUCAGGGCAGUGAUUGCCUGAGUGUCCAGUGUCUCCAGUGUGUGUGUGCUCAUAGACCUAGGUUCUUCACUUUGGUGGAGUUUGGGAGUUGUAAAACUCCUUCAUAUUUUGCUCAAAGUGUACCUGCUCAUAGAGACAAGGCAGAGAUCAAGUGCAUGGGCCCUGUUGGUGGAAAACACCAACAGAACCAAAAGUGUAUUUGUUCUCCUCUAACCUCAAGCAUAGUGAGCAAGACAAAGUUGAUGGAUAAUAAGAUCAUGAGUGUAGCAUUUAAAACAUUUGUCAGAUAAGAUCGCUCAACCUAAUGGAAAGAUAAUCUAUAUAUACUUAUGUUUUUUAUAUAUAUCUUCCAAAGAUUGAGUGUGCAACCUUUUAGCUCAUAUGAUUAGGAGUGUGGGAUCACAAAGGUGGAAGGACUAAACAUGUUGAAUCGAUUGGGUUGGUUAAUCUAGAGUUGUAAAUCAUACAUGUUUGUCUCUUAUAUUCAUGUGAACGCCAGAACCAAGGAGAAGCUUAUAGAAGUGAUAGUCAAGUACCUUAAGAUGUUACCUUACUUGAAGAGUGAUGGUACAGUAUCACCUUGUGGAAGCUUUCCUCUCUUAGCGGUUGUGCAUCGUGUUUGUGGCACCCUCCAUGGAUCAUCUCUUGUGAGCUAUGCCUUCCUCGUGCAAAUUGUUAAACUUCAUGUGUCUUUCUCUUUGUCUCCAAUGUGAGUUUAUCUCAGGACUUCCCAGGUCGAUAUUGAAAGUUUUCCAGUAGGGGUUAGUCCAACAAAAUAUCCAAUAUCUACUAUAGCAUACUAUCGGCUCAUAGAUCAACCUAGACACCAUGUCUAAUUUGAUUUAGGAGGGAAUUUUAACCUAAGCAUCAUGCUUAAUUUAAAAUCCUUUGGAAGUAAGAUCAUCAUUCCUAAACUAAGCACCAUGCUUAAUUAAGAGAUAAAUGAAACUACUCCAAGCCUAGACAUAUACUAAAGCAAAUAAAGGUAGCAUGAGAGCAUUUAUAGAGAUCUACUCAAGUGAAGAUGAAGUAGUGUGAUUAGUAUUUAACAGAUUGAGCAUGUCUCAAAGGUAGGGACAACCAACGUAGCAACAUGGCAAAUGAUGUUUUUAUGUAAAGUACUCCCCCAAGCUUGAAUUUUGCAAAAUUCAAGUUUGGAUGAAUUUAAUUCAAUGUUGUAUGAUGAUUGGUUGGACAUACCUUGUGCUUGUCAUUCAUCCGAUCUUCUUGCUCUAAUCCUGAAAAGGUUAGUGACAAGAAUACCCGAAGGAAUUUUUUACAAUUAUCCUUAUAUGCUCAAUACACAAGGUAAUGUUGUAAAUAAUUAAGAGCUUAUGUUACAAUCUGAUCAGUGCUUGUUUUAGGACACUAAGCUUGUCCUUGGGAAACCAUUAAUUUAUGUCAGAGAAGUGGUUUCCCCUCCAACUCUGACCUAUAUCAAGAUCAACUCAACGAGAUUUGCAAUAUUUAUUAUAGACAUAUGCAUCGACAACCGCCCUUUUAAAGUUUUUAUAAAUAGAAAGGAUGAGAGGAUUCGAGAUCUCGAAUGUGGUGAUGUUGGAAAAACCAAUGGAUUGGGAAGAUGUUGCAUAUGAGCAUGGAGUAAAUGAAGUGGCUAUGAAAUAAAUUCCAUGUUCAUUAAUGCUUAGAGUGAAAUCCAUGUGGUAUGGUGAAAAUGAUAUGGUGAGUGCGGUAAAAAAGGAAAAUAAAAAGGAUACACGGACGACUUGGUUCGAAACUAGCACAGCUACCGUUCCCCGGCAACGGUGCCAGAAAGCUUGUUGGGUAUUUUAAACGCAAACAGAAAAAUCCGCAAGCGCACAGAUACCGAUGUAGCUUUCACCCGGGAGUAUUCCAGAGUAUCGAUUUUCCACAGAGAACGUGAGUGUACUAAUUAAGACCCAAGAUCGCCCAAGGAUAACUAUAUAAUUGUUUUUGGUGGGAAGAGAGGAAGUUUCCUGAGAGUUCUCUAGUUGAUCUAAGAAUCAAGAAUUACUUCAAGAUUAUCUAUUUCGGGACAUCAGAGCACUAACCACGGAAAGAGAUGAGAAGGGGGCUAGAAAGGUCUGACUACGGUCCUACAAACACCGAUCCGAACGUGGUGGAAUACGUCGACCGUUAGGGCUGUCACUACCCUAGGGCUACCACAACAAUCCGUAGGAUUGGGUGCAAUUCCAGGUAAUCACAAGACUAAACACCACGUCUAAUCUAUUAAUUACUACUCUAAUGUUUCAAAGACUAGAGCACUUGAUGCAAGCGGGAAUCCAAUAAAUAACUUGAAUGUAAAUAAAAGUAAUUAGAGAACUCAGGAGUUAUGAGUUGAAGAACCUGGAGAACGAUGAAGAACGAACCAGAUACUGCAAAAGUACAAUGUUGAGGAAGAUCCGACAGAUCCGGCUCCUCCUCCGCUCUCCUCUUCUCUCUCCCUAUUUCUAGAUUACAACUAGAACUAACUAGAACUAGAACUAGAGGAAAUAGAACUAGAACUAGAACUAGAUGAACUAGAACUAGAUCUAGAUGAACUAGAGGUAGAACAAGAAGAACUAGAGGGAUCCUCUCUACUUGGAUGAAGAAUUGAAACUCUAACUUUGAUUCUGUAGAAGAGGUAUUCUCUCUAGGGGCCAGGGGGCCUUGCUUAUAUAGUCUUUUCAGAUGAAUCUGGGCCGUCGGAUCAAACCGAUAUUGAUCGUGUGGUUUUCCUUGAAGUAUUAGGUCGGUGGAGCAUGAUCCGCGAAACGUGUCCUGAUUGGGCACUGUAGCUGGGCGGGCGCCCAGGAGAGUUGGGCGGGCGCCCUGCCUCCGAGCCCGAUUUCCUUCCCGUUUGUUCCCGUGGCUUCUGGAGUCUUCUAGAUAAUAGAAAAUUGCGCGACACGUUAAUAUCUCUAUGUAAACCCGACGUGUGGGCCUUUCUUCCGUAUUUCCUGAUAACCCCCUGCAGAAAUAGACAAACACCAAAACUUGUGGAAUUCUAUCAGAUAAAACCCUAAGUCUAGGUGUUGGUUGCAUUUGGAUCCUUUUCCAUGAUUAAUUGAUGGUUAAAUAUGAGCAUUAAGGACCGUCAACAGGCGGCUAUAUUAGGGUCGGAGUAAUUAACGGGUGCUUAGCGGACCCGUUUGUUUUCUCUCAACAUUAUGCGGAUUAUAUUUCUUUAGUAAAGCCUUAUGUACACUGCAGUGGGUAGACCAAACAAAAUUAAUGCAAAGAAUUAGUAAUAUAUCAUAUAAUCAAUAAAAUAGCAUGCUCAAAUGUUAAAUUUAACUAACUCAGGCAAUGUAGCACACUCAUCCGUAUUUGUUAGUAUGUAGUGCCUUAUUCUCAACAUCUCAGAGUCGUCCAACACCUCAGAACUAUAACCUUUCCUACUGUAGUCAAGGUCACCAAAAACGCUCAAACCAGAUGGUGGUUCAAGCACUGCGGCGCUUUCAUGGCGCUCUGGGCGACUUGGCAUAUCUUUGAAGAACUCAGAACAAAAUGUCAUGCACUCUUCUGUGAUAUAUCCUUCUGCUAUUGAGCCUUCAGGAUGUGCUUUGUUCCUCACAUAACCUUUUACCGUACACAGAUAUCUCUCCACAGGAUACAUCCAUCUAUAGCAUACAGGUCCACCAAGUGAAGCCUCUUCAGCUAGAUGAACUGGCAAAUGUACCAUGAUGUCAAAAAAAGCAGGUGGAAAUAUCAUCUCAAGCCGACAUAGAGUCUCCCUAAUCGAAGUACUCAUGUUAGCAAGCUCCUUUUCAUCUAGCUCCUUUGAACAAAGCAAACUAAAGAACCUACUCAAGUCAUUCAAUGGGACAACAACUUCUUCAGGCACAAUGUUGCAUAGUACUAAUGGUAAAAGUUUCUGGAAUAUAAUAUGAUAAUCAUGAGUUUUCAGACCAGACAACGGACACCGAUUUUGAUCCACACAUCUUCGAAUAUUGGACGCAUACCCAUCAGGCAACUUAACUUCAUGAAGAAAUUUGCAUAAAAGUUUCUUGUCAUCUUUUCCUAAUUUGUACAAAGCAGGUGGUAAGGUGAACUUACCAUUGUCACGCACUGGAUGUUGAUCCAUCCUUAUCCCGAGAUGUUGCAUGUCAAGCCGAGCUUCCUCAUUAUCCUUACUUUUACCUUCUAUGUUUAGCAAAGUGCCCAAUAUGGUCUCACAUAUAUUUUUCUCGAUAUGCAUCACAUCCAAGUUGUGCCUAAUAAGCAAAUUUUUCCAGUACGGAAGCUGAAAGAAAAUACUCUUCUUCCUCCAGUUGUGUCAUCUCUUUUCUUCAUCAUGCUGCUUCCUUUUUCUUGAUUCAGGACCGAAUUGGACUUGAUCAAAACUAUCAUAGUGUUGCAACACCUGUUCUCUAGUUAGUGGUUGUGGUGCCUCCCUAUUUUCUAUCUUGUUGUUGAAGCUGACCUUGUUUUUGUGCCACUUGUGGUCCAUAGGAAAAAACCGACGAUGCCCCAUAUAGCAAUGCUUCCCACCAUGUUUCAACCAUAAGUAUUCUGUUUCCACAUGGCAGUAUGGACAUGCAAACUUACCUUUCGUACUCCAUCCAGAAAGCAUUGCGUAUGCUGGAAAGUCAUUAAUUGUCCAUAGUAGAAUUGCAUGCAAAUCAAAAUUCUUCCUCUCCUUUGCAUCCCAGGUCACGAUACCCUCUUCCCAGAGAACAUUGAGCUCAUCAAUUAAAGGCUGCAAGUAUACAUCAAUGCUAAUGCCAGGAGACCUCGCUCCUGGUAUCAUCAUGGACAACAUCCAAUACGACUGUUUCAAACACAACCAUGGCGGAAGAUUGUAAGGAAUUAAAAUCACAGGCCAUCAACUGUAUGACACAUUCAACAUACCAAACGGAUUGAAUCCAUCAGAUGCUAGACCAAGCCUGACAUUGCGAGGAUCAUUUGAAAACCAUUCAUAGGUUGCAUCCACAUGCUUCCAUGCUUUGGAGUCCGCGGGAUGUCGCAUUUUUCCAUCAACCACCAAUUCAUCCUUAUGCCAACGCAUAUAUGAUGCUCUACUCUCUGACAUAUAUAUCUUUUGGAGCCGUGGAAUCAGUGGGAAGUACCGUAGGAUUUUACGUGGAACACGCUUGUCUGAGCCACAACUACUGCCAACAUCUUGUACCUUUUUAGACUGCCUCCACCUUGACUCAGCUCACCACAUUUUGGGCAAUUAUCCAGGCCCUCAUAUUCUUUCCCUCUAAAUAACACACAAUCAUUAUAGCAUGCAUCUAUCUUUUCAUAAUUUAAACCAAGAUCUCUAACAACCUUUUUGAUCUUCUCCAUACUAUCUGUCAGAUAGUGCCCUUUAGGAAGAAUUAACAAGAACAGCCCAAGCACGAACUCCAUGCAAGCAUUACUACAACCAAACAUGCACUUCAUCUGAAACAUUCUGACAAUGAAAGACACUUGGGUUGCUUCUGUGCAACCUGGAAACAACUCCUUCUUGGCCUCUUGCAACAAUUUAAAGAAUUUCUUUGCCUUCUCAUUUGGAUGUUCCUCGUCGAGUUCUCCACGUAUCUCUCCCCUGAUCAGUGAAUGUAACAUUUCUUGGGUACCAGCCAUAUCAUCAACAUCAUCAUCACCAUCAAUACCUGAACCUUCACAUAUACUUUCCUGCUCUCGGAUGAAGCUUUCAUCAAAACCUUUCCUAAGCAAAUGCUUCUGGACAUCUGACCGUUUUCUGAAUGACAUGGAACGGCAUGCUGAACAUGGACAUGGCGCCGUUCCUCCUUUCGAGUUGCCUCCAAAGGUGCUAUCAAGAAAAUCUGUUAAUCCUUGUUGCCACUCUGCAGAUGCCGUAUCCAGCCGCAUCCAACUACUACCCUCAUGUGACAUUGUUUCCAACACCUGGCAAACACACGCAAAGAUAAAUAAGUACAUGCUACGUAUUGCAAACAAAGUCAAAGUAAAUAGCAAUAUGAUUGAUCGAUUAUAACAACCUACUUCUAACAAUUAAUAUUUUUACCAUAAUAGAAAAUUCGGGCAGCACCUUAUUUAAAUACGCAGCAAGAACAAUAAUAUAAAAAACAAACGAAUGUAUGACAAAAUUAACAUGUACGUACCCUCUAGACUAUAUAUAAAUCUUAUAAUAUAUAUAUGUACUAAUUUAUCUUGCAAAGCAAAAACAAAUCAAGUAAACAUAUUUUCAAUUCAAUUAACAUAUUUCAUAAUUAUCGAGGAUCACUCUAAGAUUCUGACAACUAAAUUAGAAGAAAAAUAUGACUACAUGAGUACUGAUGAGUACUACCAGUCCGAAAUAAUUAAUUUAGUUAAAAACAAUUCAAUGAAAAAAAUACCUACAAGUCAGGACAGAUCGGCUAAUCACCUGGUGACUAUUGACGAACUGAUAGAUGAUUUGAUGCAGAAAUCGGCACAGGGCCGGGGCCUGCUCGAUCACCGCGACAACCUAAGCUUGAUCGGCACAAGGAGCAAGGACGCAGCAGGAGAUGCACCUCCUAGUUAGGGUCAGCAGGAGGAUGCGGCGUCGUCUGGUGCAGAUCAUCAACAGAAGCUGCGCCUCCUUGGUCAGCGGCAGGAUGUCAUGUUGACACAGAUUAGCAGUAGAAGAUGCGCCACCUACGGCCAGCGGGAGUAUGCGGCGUUGCUUCACCUCCUAGGGCCAGCGGGACGAUGCGCGGCGUCGCCUGCCGGUCCCCUCGCCCACGUACGUCGGACCGAAAACAAAAAGAACGAGAAAACAGAUCUUACGUAAAUACAUAUGGAGUCCAAACAUGAUUCGAUAGCAGUAUAAAAGAUUUUAUAUACUAGUCCAUGCAUAUACAAAUAACUAGCCUGGUGGUUAUGCAUGAUGUGAACAAACCCUAGGGCAUAGGUUCAACUCCUCUUACAUGUGCUAUUUUUUUAAUUAACAAUUCACUUUUUAUUUAACCUUACAUCAAACACAAAUCUGUUGCAACAGUACUUCCUAAUUGCAUCCAUAACCAACAUAAUGCAUCGACAAAUCAGUCCUAACGCAACCAACGGUGUCCGAUGCAAUAAUGUCUACUAUUGCAUCCCUUGUUUGAAAUGAUGCGAUAGAUCAUAGCUAUUGCAUCGACACGAAUUAUUAUGGCAUCCAUCUAAUUUUUGAUGCAAUAAGAACGACCUAUUGCAUCAAAUUUCUAAAAUUGAUGCAAUAGCGUCCACCUCUUGCAUUAGAUUUGUAUUUGAUGUAAGAGGCCUUGAUGCAAUAGGUAAAAAUUUAGUAGUGCUGUAUGUGUAAGUCCAGUAAGUGAUAUGGAAUAUGCUGCUGAAAUUUUCACAAAACGAGCCAGACUCACAGAAUUCGAACCAAGGGAAAUGGUAACAUUUGACCUUCCUAGAAGUAGUAUUUGUGAAGUUGACUAUACAGUAAUCAAGUCGAUGUCGAGGUUUUACAUGCUAUUGCGUUACUUAAGAGAGCGCAACCAUUUUGACCUCAAUACCACGACAAAUAAUUACGAGGAUUGCCCACAUUUCUGCAACUGUGAGGAGGAACCAAGGAGGUGUUUUGCCAAGACACCAUGGCAACUGGGAGAUGAUUGGCAUGUAUUCGCUCUAAUAAAUAAAGGGGGUGUUAGUGUCAUUGACGCAUCAUCGUCAACGAUGUGAGAAUGAAGUACAUAGCAUAAGUGCAUUGCGUUUUAUAUAAUUUCGGGUUGUUAAUUUACUAAAAUUAGUUUGUCUUAUUGUGAAGGAUGCAAAUUGUAGACUACUACCCUAAAUAUAUCGAGGUCAUGCCAAAAUCAGCACAUGACCAACGGAUCGGGGUAUGUGAGAUGGAGAUGGACAUGUUUGAUGCUAUACUAAGAUGUUUUAAACAUAGUGACGAUAGGUUGUAUGCUGGAGAAGGAAAUUUGGGGUGGCGUCACUUCUUUGAGACAGACGUUUUGGUAAACUUUUCAUACACCUCAAAUAUUUAUAAAACAUUGUCUGUGGUUAUAGAAAAACAUUAAUUUAUUGCAGCGAAUCCUGAAGGUUGGUACAAGUAGCAUAUGGGUUGGGAAAUAAAUCACUGUCAUUCAUAAUUUUAUGCUGACAGGGUUCAGUUCUUGCGGGGUGGUUUGACAUCAAGAUCCAGGAGUGCGAAACCAGUUCAUAGGUUCGAACAUUACAUAUGGCCUCUACAACUGCACCAUGGUAUGUUAUCGGCUAUUAUAUAUAAAUUAUGUAAAUCAAGAUCAUGGCUUACAAUUAACAACUUUGUAUACAUGACCUGAUAUGUUGUUCCUACAGCCUUUCUUCCUAGUGAUUUUGCAGCAGCGGUGGGUUUGUUUCGCCUGGAACCUCGAUUGCAACAAAAUUGUAGUUUUUGACCCAGCUUGCGAUAAUAGAACAGUAUUAUCAAGACAGAGUAUAUACACGAAGGUAGUAGAUAUGUUAAAAAGCACUCUUACAUGUGUGAUGCCAAUUUUAUACCGGGGAUGGGAUCAUGAUUGGAGUGCAGCCAACAUACUUCAUUUCCCUUGGCGCACAAGAGGAAUGAUAUGGUAAGCUUCUGACACAUCUUCACUUGGUAUAUUUACAAAUAAAUAAAUGAAUUCAUAUAAAUAACAAACUAAAACCAUAGCUAUGAGUAUUGGAAGGUUUAAGGUUAAUGCUUUUUUAUAUAUUGUGACAGUUCAAACCAGACUGGUGUCCUUUGUGCAUACUUCUGCCGAUGUUAUGAUGGGCAACGCCUAAUACAAGAUUUGGAAGAAGUAUUACUUAUCUCUAAAAUGAUCUUGCACUGCUUCAUGAAUGUUUAACCUUUUUGCUUGAACCUUGUAAUUUAUAUUUGUAAAAAAACACAUUGCAGGGGCAAGUGGAUCAGAUCGCAACAGCUUCGUUUGCGGAAGCUAGUGGACUAGUAAAGGCAACAUGAAGAUCUAGAUGUACACAAACGUUGGAAGCGGUAGUGGUGGCUAUAAAGAAGGGCACGAACAUCCUAGUGUUGUCGAAUGAAUGUAAACAAUUUGGCUCAUGAUUCAUCUGGCAAGAUCAAUCAGGAGUUUUUGGAUAUUUUAGAAAAUUUAGACAAAGUUGGUUAUUUAACAGUUAUAUUGUAAUCACUCUACGCUCAUUCUGAGCUGAUCUAUGGCAAGCAGUCACCUACAAAAAGAAAGAGAGGAACAACUGAUUAUGUAUAUCUUGUGCCACUCUUCAUCCUAUGGUUAGUCAAACAAUACAAUGUUAUUACAAUCUACAUGCAUGGUUCUAAUAAUGGUAUGUAGCUGAGUGCCAGUCCUUAAUUCAGAAAAGUAAUGACAUGUUCUGCUUUCAAGCAGAAGACGUAAUAAUGUAUUGAUAUGAGACACCUAAUAAAGCUAGACUGAGAUAGUUAUUACAGCCUGAGAAGACUGAGAUACAACACAAAAGCAGCAGUCCAUUACCUGCUCACAUAACCGAUCAUGGCAAUCUGAAACAACCAGCUUCAAUGAGUGCAAAUCACAGCUGUGUUGAUAUAAUGCAAUCUAUGGUACGGGGAUUUGUAAUAUUAGGACAAUACUGCUGUCGUUCCACGAAAAUUGGUGAAGGUGUGCACCACAAAGAGGAUGUACGGUAUACAAUUAAAUUGAAAGAAUGACCACCAGGUAAUUCAGGAUUCUGAUUCAAACAACAGUUGGUUCAUUCCAAACAAUAUAUAUAUAUAUAUAUAUAUCGCAUUUAUUUUACACGCGCGUGUAGUUACUCUCAUCUAUAUAUCUCUAGAUUUAAGGUGUAUAUGACCGAACGAAAUGUAUAUAGACAAAGUAUAUGAUCAUACUAGACCAUCUAGAGUGAUAUGUAUGUUAAGUAUGCAUGCAUACAUAGAGUAUAUGGUUAUACUUAUUAUAUAUAAUAUAUUAGUGGCAUUUUAGUAAUAUAUUUAAAAUAUAAUUUUUUUAAAAAAAAAAUUCGUGUGGUAAGAUCUAUAGUAUCUUAAUAUGAGUAUAUAAACAUACUCAAACCGAUAAACAAGUAUGAAUACAUACAAAAUGUAGUUUAUUAAAGAUGAGAGUAACUACACGUACGUGUACAAAGGAAUUUUCUAUAUAUAUAUAUAUAUAUAUAUAUGGGUAGGUUCAUUUUUAUGCAAGGAGGGGAUUUAGGGGGGGUGAUUGUUCGCAAUUUGUCAUAUACAAAUAUAGAAAUAAUAAGUAUUCCGAACUUGUUUUAGUUCAUGACAAAAGCUAAUGCCGCUACCAUUACAAACUCCAAGUGCGAGAUAAUGGCCAAAAGCUGAAGCGACUGCCAAUCAGAGCAUCACACUAAGGUUGCUGCUAUUCAAGAUCAAUGUCGUGCAGGCUUGUUUGGUUUUGCUGACGCCUAAGGAGGAGAGAACAAACGGACCACUUGAAUGUAACAUCAAGACGCUGCAGCAAGAAAAACACAUAAUUUUAAGUAAUAUUAAUGAUUUAUUCUGAAGUAUGACAAAUAUGUGGUGAGGUGUAUCUCAGUAUAGCUUCUAACUCACACACCUUCCUCGGGGGUCCACGAUAAGAUAAUGUAGAAAUUUCCUUUGACAAAUCUCGAACCAUACAAUCCCCGUCAAAAAGGAAGGCAAACAUUGAAACAAGGAUAGCUUGGUGGUCCGUCGAACUGAAGAGCAGAGAUUAAAAAAACAAUUUAAAAAUGUAAUUAAAAAUCAUGUAACAGAAAGCAAUAUGCUAGUUGAUGUUAACAUAUGAAUUCCAAAACAUGAAGAACAAGUUUUGUCUUUCAUUUGACAUGUACUUUGUUUUGAAUGAAAUCAGGACUGCUGAUGUUGAUUGUGUUGUUAUACAUGUGUAAGCAUUAUGUGCGCUAAUAACCUUAGUUUUUGAGAAAUAUGGGCUACUAUGAUAUACUGGAAUCGGAAGUAUAUAUUGGUCAGCUGCUGUGCGUAUGUUGUCAAGUGUGAGCUGCAGAAAAAGCAGGUUCUGGGUGCGGAGAUUUCACACUACACAUGUCUGAAAACUGACAGUGAUAGAAUAAGAAUCAUUCUCAGCUCAUAUUGUCUGAUUUCAGAAACUGAGUCAAUAGUAAACAUAUAAAAGUGGCAGAAACAACAUAAUAAACCUGUACAUUUCAAUGGGACUAUGCACAUACAAAAUAUAUUUUUGGAAGUCAGUAUCGCAUGAGAUUGUGAUUGGACCUUUGCAUUUUCUCAACCCAGAGACCUGAUCAUAUAACUCUGUAACUAAACCCUAUCUAAUCUGCUCACUUAAUCACCAUCAUUAAAUAAUUUAGCUAACACAGGGCAACUUGUAACAAAAAUAUAAUUCGAACCAAGAGAAACAGUAACAUUACAACUAUCAAAUUUUACUGACCUCAGAUCUAGUGAGCCACCCCAUUGAAAGAUCUGAAAUGACCACUUAUCCACAGUUGGGAAAGCAAAAGAUGAUGACGAGCCCAACAGCGAAAGCAUGGUCCUCAGGAACCUGUCUGAUGCCUUCCUAAGUUGCGUCUCAACAAUGUAGCUUGGGGAAUGUAUAGAGUGUGGCUGAAAUGCGUAAUCUUAAAUUCCCUCAUGUUUACAGCAAAACACGUCCAAGAACCUCCCACUUUUGUAGGUGCAAAGCACUGCAUUUAAUAAUGUAUAUUACGUAAGCUAAUAACAAAAAUAAUUAUCGGUUGUAAUUACUAUUAUUUCUAAUAAUGGUUUAGAGAGACAUCAAAGUACAAUGUGAGAAUGCAAUAAAAUUAUUACACAAAAGAAAAAACUAACCAAUUCACAUUGAGCAGGAUCAAAGCAGAGAUAUGGUGAUCGAAAUAGAGGAUAGAAUUCGCGAGGCUUGAUUAUAGUUUCAGCAGACAUACAUGCAGCCUUCAGUUAAUGUAAUGUGUAUUACACAGCACCAAACAUGUUGCAAAAAACUCGAUUAGAUCUUUAAUUUAAUGAUAACAAUGUACAAUAGCAGUGAAGGAUGCCCACGGUGAACCUUGGAUCAACAAAAAAUCUCCACCGUGAGCCUUGAUAAUUCAGGUACAGAUGAUCAUCAAGUUCUUUGAACAAUGCUAUUAUAACAGCCAUCAUCUUGGUGGAGUACGAUACACCUUGCACAAAAUGUUUGAUGAUUUCUUCCCCUCUUAUUUCAAUGGUAACUGGAGAAUCAAACCGAACCCAUACCCUGUUGAAACAGAUUUAGAUGGAAAUAUAUUAGAUAUUGACGAUUUAUUAGGCAUAGUACGCACUAGAUUAAAGUGAUAAAUAGCUAUUCUUAUCUGCUCUGCUUAUUUCUUUUGUUCCUAGAGUCGUCAUCAGCAGUAUGGCCUGUGUGUCGGUGGGGAAAAGUGACAUACUCAUGAGAUCAAAUGGUUUCUUAACUCGUUUUUGUUUCUUGCCGUCAAUGCGUGUGUUGCCAUCAGUAUUGUCAAUUCGAUUAGUAGUGAAAAUUUCGUGAGUUCUCAAUCCUAUGAAGCAUACAUGUAAAUUGUGUUGUCAAAACUGAACAAAAUACAAAACACAGACACAUAGAUUACACCAAAUAUUGCUAUGGAGAUACAUCUGGGUAAUUAUACUUACUUUUACUGCUCACAGGUCCCUCUACGAAAUCGAUCACAUCAACAAGCAUGUUCAACCCAGGAGUUCCUAAGACAGUAUAAUAUGGAUAAUGCUAAACAAGGAUGUAGAUAUAAAAUAUAAUUUAGUCUUACAAACAAAUAAAAGUAGAGACCUUGCUGAGAUUUGGCUCGCCCGCAAUAAUGCUCUCCUUGUUGGGAUCCAGAUUUAUCAUUAAACAGGAGGACCAACAUAUGACUUCAUCGUUUCAGGUGUGUGAGUAGAUGAUGGUGAGGUGAAACAAUCUACACAAGCAAUCCAAAAUAUGAAAAUGGAAGCUUGCAAUUUAUAAAUGAGUAAACUAAUUAGAAUGCAAUGAUUACUUAUACAGAAAUAAGUAAUCGAUCUUUUCUGCAGUACUAGUGUAUUUAACUAGUGAAAUCUAAAUUUGAACUGUAGUAAAAUUGGUUGAAUCAACUAAAUAUGGUUAAUAUAAACAACAAAAGUUAUAUCUCUCCUAUCGGUGAGUUGUUUACUGAGUCUGAAAAGAAUAUCAGAACUAAACAAUAAUUAUUGAUUUAUGUUGGGCUUGCAGUGGUGUAGUAUAUAUUCUAGGUUAAUAGUUACUUGAUGUAAUUAUUAUAUUAGAAGGUAUUUAAAUCCAUAUAAAUUUGUAUAUUAGAAUAAUAAACUUCAAAGUUACUGAUCAUUAUAUAAAUUUGAGGAGACAUUUAUUCAUUUAAUUCAUUUUUGUUACAUUUAAAAUUGCUGAGAGUGCAGGUCAAAUUACAAACCAUUAAUUGAAGCAAACUUCCCUAAAAGUUUGUUGCGGUCAAUUGGAGCUGCGAUAUUUGUCUUAGCUCAUUAGAUAUACUUAUGAAUACUUCUAUAUUUCCCAGAGCUGUCAUGCUUGUGCGAGGAAAAGGAUGGUUGAUAAGGUUGAAAUUUGGAUGCAACAACAAUGUUUUUCUUUGACAUGCUUCCGGAUAUUGGGCAGGAUGUAUCUGAAAAACACAUCACUCAAAAUAUCAUUGAUAUGGAAGUGAACAUAAAUUAAUCAUCUGCAGUAAUAUAGAACGUUAGUGGAAAAAAGAAUAUAACAAGGCGUUUAGGGGUUUCAAACUACCAGCGCGCUUGGGGUUAAUUGCACCUUGUGUGGUGUGGAGAGCAAUUGAGGGAGGGAUCUCUCGAGUUGUCUCUCCAUCAACCAGUCCUUCCGUAACUGUGUUACUUGAGAUUCAAGUGCAGUAUAUAGAAGCUUUUGAUUGCCCUGUUUAUAAGAUUCAAAUGAAUGUUGGCAUGAUGUAAUGCAGCUAAUUAAUCUGUAACAAUGAAUUUUAAUAAAAGAGUGUCUCAAUUUGUAUGAAAUUUAAUUCAUUUGGAUUAGUUAAUACAUGAUUUCAUAAUAAACCUUAAUAUUUGAUAUAAGCAUAUGGCUAGAUGUAGCUAUUUGUGUUCGUAUAAAGUAUAAUGCAAAAGUACAUAUCUAUUGAGCAUAAAGGGAACAUACUGAAAUGGAACGAGGACUGUCUCCAGUCAGCUUGGACUGCAUCCACAUAACCUCCUUCAUUACUAACCGCAAGAUCUCACGAAAUGGUUUCUCCACAAUAUUAUGCAUCUCAGAUUCCUAACACAUUACAGACAAAAAACUUCAAACUCCAGAGUUUGUAAACAAUUAUGUGACCAACACUUCAUGAUACUAAAUUCAUAGAAAUUGAUUAAAAAUUACUCACACCGACAGACAGCGGCACCAUCCUCACAACUGAAGUAGAAAGAGGAGUGUUGCAUAUACUCUGCUUCUGCCUGGGCUGCUGCUUCAUUAGAUAAAAUUCAAAUGUGAAUAUAGAAGCACACAAAAAAUAAAAAUAAAAACAUAGCGACUUCAUUUGUUGUCUUCACAGAGUGUGGUGUAAAUCAAACUGACUCACCGAAGAUCUUGUUAAGAUACUACUACGGCGUGCUGCUCUAUGUUCUGCGUCAUUAGCUAUUUUAUUUAUAGUCGAUAUAAGUGCAUUGCAGUCGAGCUGUGUUCAGAAAUUAAUUGUGUUAGCAGUCAUACAAGGAUUAUCAACAAAGCAGUCGAGCUGUGUUAAUACACUCAUUGCGAUAGAUGUCAUAUAAUGGCGUGGGGAAAAUGAUGGUUUUAUUUUAAGAAUUGAGUGUGCUUUAAAAUUAUCACUUAGAGCAAUUAAGAAUCUUGUCUAUAGAAAAAUUGCCCUGCACAAGCACAACCGAUCAGUAGCACAUAAUGGAUGGUUACGUCUACUGACAAGAACUGCAACGGUAUGCAUAACCAGAGGAGGAGGUGAAGACAUCUACUGCUACUACUGCAUCUACUCAAUUGAGACUUGCAAGUCAAAAUACAUCUACUGCUACUACUGCAUAUUGUUGAAAAGCAGAUGGAUGGAUACAUCUACUGACAAACAAUGCAACGGUAUGCACAACCAGAGGAGGCAGUGCAAAAACAUCUACUGCUACUACUGCAUCUACUUACUUGAGACUUGCAAGUCAAAAUAUUCCAACUAGGUGAUUUCUUCUUCCUUUCAUCGUCAGAUUUCUCGAGUGCCUUCAGUUCUUUGGUUGUAAAAUAAGCAAUCAGGGGCUUCCCAGAUUCAUGUACAGAAAAUGUGACACCAAUGCACCGAGUGUAAAAGAAUAGCUGAGACAAAAUAGAAAAUAGUGAGGCUUACAACAAGUUAGUGCAGAUGGAAAACAAAAGCCAAUGGGCUAGUUAUACAAAUGUGAGAUUAAUUACCAUCAAUGCUAAUGAUUAAACAGA